rnacentral:lncRNA from 1 species
UUGAAGGGUAGAGCAACAACAAAAAUUUCUUAAUUAGUCACUUAUUUUAAUUGAUUCUCAUGACAAUUCUCCCGUUUUCAAUACAUGAUAUUGUAUUGAAUAUGGAAUUCUAUAACAUUUUUAGAGUUUGAAUGUUUCGACAGACCCCACAUAGAUGAUAGAGUUAUGCAGACUUCUAGUAGAAUUGCACUUGUACAUUUAGAUGGAAGUUUGAUCGAGUCAUGUAAAAUAGACGGGCGUAUAAAAUAGAGGGAGUUAAACAAAAAUUCAAAUAUCAGUGCCGCAAGCUAAGCUCACUUGAUAAACUAAAAUUUUUUUCCAUGUAAGAAGACUUAAAAUAUAAAGCGCGAAUUGACAAAAAGGAAGUUCUGGCUUUAUGUAUAGAGAAGAUAAGUAAACACAUUCAGGUGGCAUUAAGUAUCACAAUACAAAUACAGACAGUCCAAUGGCCCUGCAACUGGAAGAAGAGGAAAACUUCCGCUGUGCCACGCAGCUGGUGUUUUCUUCUGUGCUGUCCAUGUCUAUGCAAUCAGCAAUCGAGCUAGGCGUUUUUGACAUCAUAGCGAAAGCCGGUCCUGGUGCCAAUCUCUUCAUCAGAGAUUGCAGCCCAUAUCGGCAGCGGCACCUCUUAAAUUUCAGGUAGACGGGCCAUGAGCCCACUCCAACAACACCGAUACUGUCACCACUUGGCUACCUGCUCAAUCCGUCAGGUGUGAGGUUUUAAUACAAAAGGCCUCGGUGAUAGAGUGGGGUAAUUCUAUAUAAAUGGCUUGUUCUCAAGCCUUUUGGCCGAUGUGGGACAAAGAAAUUCUAACAGCACCAGGAAUUCUGAGGCACCGAUGAUGUUGGAUCGUAUUCUAAGGCUCCUAGCCAGUCACUCUACUCUCAGCUGCUCUGUCGUUGCUAAUGAAGAAGAUGGGUCUGAUUCUCAGAGGCUCUACAGCCUUGGUCCUGUGUCCAACUACUUUGUGACUAAUGAAGAUGGUGUUUCUUUAGGUCCCAUGAUGGCAUUGAUGCAAGACAAGGUCGUCCUAGACUCCUGGUCUGUUUAGUACUACUCUCUUGCCCCUACUAAUUAACCAUUGUCUUAACCCUUUUCUCUUUUUAUUCAUCUAUAUUUUGUUUUAGUAGAAUUAUUAGAGAUAAUUAGAGCAAUAGUUUUGAAUUUUAGUUCAAUUGGAACUUUGGUCUUUCAAUUAAAUAUCCCUAAAUAUUGGUCUCUAAACUUGUUACAAUGGAAAACAAUAAUUUUUUUGAAUAACUCCAUUCGAACUUCUUCCCUUUUUGGCCCCUUUAAACCUUUUAUUCUAAAAGAAAAUCACCAAGAAUGUUAUUCAAAAGGAAUUUUGCUUCACAUUAUGACAAGUUCAGAAAGCAAUACUCAAAAAAUUUUAGUUCAGGAACCAAAACUCAAAUUGUGCCAAAAUUGCUCCAAUUUUUUCAAAUUAUUAUGAAAAGGAAACCAAUAUAACUUCAAAUAACUUAUCUAUUAUGCACAACUCACUAUAAACUCAUUUGGCAACUUUUCAUUAGUUUCAUUUUGGAAUCACUUACAAGUUAUUAAUUCACAACAAAUUAGAAAUUGCCACAUCAAUCAUUGUAGAAAAGAAAUUGGUCUCUCUAGCUUUUAUUUUCUAAUUAGCCUAAUUAAUAGUAAUUAUCUUGUUUUUAAUAAAAAAAAAUAGUAAUUUAUCUUUUUAACUCUAACUUGGGUCAACCUAUUAGUCGACUCAUGAAGAAAGACGCUCCAUUCAUAUGGGAUGUUGCCUGCCGCAAUGCCUUUAAAAGCAUAAAAAGAUACUUGGCAAGCCCACCUGUCUUAAGAGCUCUCGUGCCUGGAAAGUUGCUCAUCCUAUACACUGCCGCACAAGAAGGUUCCAUUGGAGCACUCUUGGCACAAGAAAAUGAAGGCCAAAAGGAAAGAGCACUCUACUACCUAAGUAGAACUCUCACUGGUGCUGAGCUUAACUACUCACCAAUCGAGAAGAUGUGCCUUGCCCUAGUUUUCACCGCCCAAAAGCUAAGACACUACAUGCAUGCUUACACCAUCCAUUUGGUUGCUAAAGUUGACCCAGUCAAGUAUGUUAUGUCCAAACCCAUCCUGAUGACAACUAGGGUUAAGAGCGGCGUGUUGGCCAUAUAAUCAAUACAAUCCCAUAUGAUAGGGAUGGUUGCAUUCGAUCUAUUGUCUCUCGUCGAAAGGCGUAGAGAGGGGACAAUUCGACUAAUAGCGUUCUUAACUGAAGGCAGAUUCCUUCUAAGUUUCGAACAUCCAAUAUUGUUUAAAAAGAUAACCAGAAACUCAAUUGAAUCUAACUGUCCUUAUCUCUUGAGUAAUUCGAUUUAAAACAUAUACGCAUAAUUCGUGACUACAAUAACUUAGGGCUAACUUCAGUAACAAUAAAAAGCUGGACGCGAGGACCAAUUUUCAGUGUUACUCAUCAGUGAUCUCAUAUUGACUGUGGAAUCCGGUACGAAAUUAAGUGGCCAAUUUCUUAAAUAUUGUUGUGGAAUUAAUAGCUUGUAAGUGAUUCCAAAAUGAACACUUAAUGAAAAGUGCCCAAAUGAGUUUAUAGUGGGUGAGUUGUGCAUUAGAUAAGUUAUUUGAAGUCUUAUAUUUGGUUUCUUUUCACGAAUAAUAAUUUUUGUAAAAGAAUUUUGGCAGUAGCCCAUCUCUCAGAGACACACUAUUGAGUUUGGUUCACCUGUAACCUAAACAUCUUUUAUGCAUAGUACUCUGGCAUUUCUGAAAUUGCUCAAACAAAUGCUAGACGUGAUAGCAAAUUCCUUUGAAUAAUAUUCUUUGCGUUGGGAUUUUCUUUUAGAAUAAAAGUUUAAGGGGAAGGCCAAAAAGGGAAGAAGUAGUCACGAAACUGGCAAGGCAUAUAUUCAAAAAAAUUAUCUUGGUUUCAUUCUGCGAAUCGCUAAAACAAGUGGUAGGUUAAGAGACCAAAUUAUCAAUAUUGAGGGAAAUCACAACAGAGAUAUUUAAUUUGAAAAAUGCCAAAGUUGCAAUCCAAGGUUGACACAUAAAAAUUUAUUUCAAACUUCACUUAUAGCUGGAAAUAGUCUAAUGUAUUCUACUAGUGGAAGGAAAUAAUUGGCUACUAUCAUAACUCAACAUAUAGAUGAAUAAAAACAGAGAAAAAUACUGGGGUAGUGAAGUUCGGCCAAAAUGGGUUAAUGAGUAGGGGCAAUAGAGGAUCCCAAGCUUCAGUACUAAAAUUCACAGCUAGAAUCGACGUGACUAGGUCGAUUGGUAACGAGUUAAACGUAGUCCUAUCUCUGGUCUUGAUCAAUGCCAUCAUGGACCUAAAAGGGUAACUUUCACCCAGCAUCUCUUCGACUUACGUCACAAAGAUGGUGUGACAUCAGUCAAUGGCUUGAGGAGUCCUCUGAACGAAUCACGGAGACCCAUCGUAUCAUAUACACGUGUUAGACCAGAACGAGGCCAGUGCACGUUCAGUGAGGGAGUUCCCGCGUUUAGGAGGUGUAGCCUCGCAAGACAUAGAUGGAGCGCUGGUGGAUAGAAACGUGACGACUUCCAAAUGCUUAUCCUACCGGGUAGCUUCUUAUUGGGAGAUGGCUUUGGUUUCUGUGGUCCUAGAAUUUCUCUUUGUCCCACCCCUUCGGGGAACCGGAAGAGCUUGAGUGAUCUCAACAACAGUCUGGCCUGAAACACAAUUGUUUACUCAUUAUAAAUAUGGAACCCACACUCUAAUACUACGACCCAUGGGCGUGUCGUUAUUUUAUAUUCACACUCACAACCUGAAUACAACGUUACGUCUGAGCAGGUAGCCACGUCCCGUCCCGGUCCGGAUGCUCGUCCCGGGUGAAUCCCAGCUGAUCCCCGGGUGGUGUUGGUGGGUGGGCUUCAUGGCCCGUCUACCUGAAUUUAAGAGGCUUGGGCCCUACAAAGAGCACCCUAAGGAAUGUGGGAGGGACAACCUUCGACUAUAGGGCUUCCUCGGGCAAAUCUUUUUUGUGGGCUGUAGACAAGAUUGGACACACAAGGACCGUGUCUUUCUGCAAUUAAUGAUGUAGUAAAAAAAAAACAACCCACGUCCUCAUGUCUCGAAAUUACGAUCCUGGAUUGCAUACGGCAAGUGCACGACACGUCACAGUCAUUCACUGAUUAAACAAACACGGGAGCACACUGACAUCGGCUGCUACAGUGAUGAGUAUUUGAGCCUCUUCUCUUACCAGUUGAUCCCUUAGGGCAAGGAAGGAAGGCCAACAAGCCAGGGGAGAAGGGCACAAGGGUUCACAUGUGGACUGUUCUCUUGUAAUAAUUGGGUGCUACAAUUUGUGAGGAUACCUCUAAUGUGGCCACUGCCAAAAUUUGAUAUUCACUUAAUCUUCCUCUCAUCAUUAUAACAUAAAGAAAUGCCGAGACUUGUACUACCUUUUUGUCAUGAUCCAGAGCACUUGGAAAUUAUGUUAUUAAGUUUCUUCUUACAUGGCAAAAAUUCUAGGAAUUAUAUCGCACCAAGAUGAAGUUUUUAGGUUGCGGGCGUGGGCAAGACUGACUAUCCUGCCAUUAUGUUACCAUUCUUUGAUUACUUUACAUACUCACCCAUUCAACCAUAGCCUGAGUUCUCAUAAAUCUGACACCGCCCUUUAUCGGUUUAUACCAUGACUACUCGGGAAUCAUAUGAGCGAUCGGUCUCCGCAUCUAAGAGGUAGCUAAUAAGGUCGCACAAUAAAUCAUAACUAGUAAGUCUGCCUAUGGCUCACUGCAUAGCAGUAUGUGGGGUCCUUGACUAUUCGACACAUUAAUCCCAAUUACACUAUCUAAAAAUGUUUGACACUUUUCAAUAUGAUGGACAUUGCGUUUCGAAUAGCUCUCAUACAAUAUCACGGUAACCCCUAAGAAGUCUCAGAUAUUGAAGAAAACAGGUUGGUGACGAACAUAUCAGUGGCUAGAGAAGUCAAUAUUACAAUAACUCAGUGCCGACUUAAUUAAGAAAUUUUUGUUGUUGCUCUACUCCUUCAUGAAGUGGCUUUACCAUUGCGGAGGUGAAGUACGGAGCAGCACUUCAGAGGCAUUGUGGCCUAGUUGCGCGAUCACUGACAUGGAAAACAAUCUUAAUACCUGCGACUUGUUCUACUCUUCAACCCUCAUGGGCAUCGCUCUAUGUGAUCAAAUAUAGCUCAAGGUCAAAUUCACAGUCAGCAUGCCUACUUCUACGUUUUCAUCAAGAUACAUAUGCAAAGCAUACUGUUGGUGAACCAACUAUGGUAUUUCUCCUAGAUGUCCAAAAAGCAUUGCCUAUCUAAUUCACAAAGUCUGGUUAACAUGGUGUCGAACCACACCUUAUUCUGGAUUUUUAUUUAUAAUGACAUCAAAUAUAAGAAUAGAAUCUUUUUACAUUUGAUAGAUACAACCUUAACUUUUUUUUUGUUUGUACAACGAUAGUAUGUUGUACGAACUAAAGGCGCGCGGAGAUAUAUCAAAGUAUAGGAGCCUACAUGCAUAAAAAUAAAGGCAACGGCUCAGUGGAUAUGGUAUUGAAUUCGACGUGCAAUCCACACGCAUCUCGGAAAACCUAGACCUUUCACUUAUUAAGUACGAAAAAGGAAAUACUAUAGACCGUAGUAAUGAAUGACUAUAAACAACCUUAACCAUUUACAACUUCACUUCAUAAAUUUACAAAAAUAUAUAUCUCCAUUAAACUUCCACUUUAAAUUUAACAAAAAAAAACUGCUUUUGAUUUUCUCUUUCAUCGGUGCAACCAGAAGUAGGACUCCAAACUGUACAAAGCUUUCCUUCUUCUCCAUUUUUGAUUUAUUUCAUAUAUAUAGUCAAUACCCAAAAUUCAAAAAUCCCACAAUUCAGUACAACUUAAAUAAGAUUUGUAAAAACUCCUAUCUUGUUUUGUAUAUAAACUCUUUAUGUUUGUUGUAUUCUUCUCUCUUACCACUGAGUAAGAAAGGAAUGUAAGUUUGGUAUGUUUUGUGUCUAGUGUUAAGAGGAUUUCUCCUGGUUGAUUCUCCCUAAUAUAGAAUAAAGAGUGGUAUAUUACUAAAAAUAGACAAGAGUUUGGAGAUAUUGCCAAAUGGACUAUAGUAAAAUAAUAUCUGAUAAACUAUAAAAGGUCUUGAUUAUGGUAAAUUUUGCAGUAUGUAAACUAUUUACCAUAGGAAAACUCAGACAACAAGUUUUUUUGGGAAAGGGAAAGUUAUUUUGUGUUCCAAAGGCACAAGCCAGCAAACCUCAAAGUGAAUAUAUUGACGAAUAAGAAUCACUAAUAUAUAUGUGACAUAUCGUACGUUCACGCAAGUAAACUUCAUGGUUCCUUUCUCUAAGGAAUACAUUCAAACUUCGCAUAUAUAGACUUCAAGCGUGAUCUGCCUACAAAGCAUCAUUUACACUAUAUUUUUGUGAAGAGAUUCUAAAAAGCACUUUUCAUUAAAGUGUCUUUCAAUUCAUUUUAGAGGCCUUUCAAAACAACAAUAUAUUCGAUUUUAUAUCUUAUCAGUGAGGAUAUCUUAUAAUUAAAUCAAUCGUUUUAUGAAAGUCUACAAUCAUUUAAACACCUUUCAACUAUAGUUUGACUCCCGUCCAGUUUUUUUUAUUAGGUAUUUAUUCAUUUGUGAAUAAAUGCCUCUCUGGCUAUCCCAGAAGAUAGAUCAUGUGCUUCACGGCAGGUUUAAAAAUAGGAGUAAAUUCCACAAAAAGAGUACAUUUAUAUAAUUAGAGACUUCUUUGUGGACCAAGGUUGCGUAACUUUUGCUGGUAUCUGACGAGGAGAUGGAUUGUAGCGCUACUAGAAUCUUCUCCACACUAGGUCCCCACACUUUGCAUAUGUUCAUACAGAAUCGGUCAUAUUGCUGUAAUGCCUUAGUUAGAAUGCUUUUUAUCGCGCAAUCGUAACUCCUUCAUAACACUCUCCACCAGUCAUAUGAGACUGGGGUUUACUCGCUAAUGAAGUGUGUAAUCCUCUAGAUAAUAAGUGCUUUUUGAUCUUAGCUGAGAUGGAUUGGACUUUCAGGAUGUCUAGAUAUGCAGAGUACUCUAAGUCUAGACACAUACAGCACACACAAAACAUUACUGCUAUAUCGAUUUUGUUUCGGUCUCAGGUCGCUUCAAGAUAAUACUGAAAUUGGCAUUAAUAUAGUUUACUAAUAGUUGGCAUGAGUGAAUUCAUUCUGUGAAUCUAUGAAAAUCAUAAGGCAAGUAGUCGACAAACGACCAUGUGUGCUUAUAUAAAUAAUCAUUCUUGAAGCAGGAUUUAGCUAUAAAAUUCAAUAAUCUUGAUGCUUAUGACCAUAAAUAACUCUAUACACAACGUUGCCUUGAGAUGCUCAUUGAACGGGAACACAUUUUUUAUUAUAUCUCCUCUUCAUAAUCAACCAACCUGAUAAGUGUUACUGAUAAAACUUAUCCGCGUCCUAUAGAUUCAUCUGGAUACCCAAUAAUUUCCUCGUCACCUAGCAACAAAACAUUAUACCAUUAUAUUAAGCACCAAAGAGUUCACUACGACCUUGCACUUUACCUGCCACCAACAUUACACAAGUCACUUGAUUAAUCAGAAUAUUGAUAGAGUAGAUGAAUCAGUGUAUUGCAAACGAUGAAUGUUGUAAUGCAAGUCGAUUAGACUAAGAGUAAGACUAUAUUACAAGAUCACAGAGUGAAUAAGUGAAAGCGUAGAAUAUAUUAAGCAUGGCCAGCCCCUAUGAACAUUUGGGGUAUUACAGAGUAGACCUUUCCGGCCUUCUCGUUGUAAUGGUGGUAGCUUGUGGAGAUGAUAUACAAAUGUCAGCAGAGAUAGUUCUAAAUAUAGACUUAAGAAUCUAAUAUAUAUUAGAGAACAAAAAGAAUAGAUUGUUAAGGUGACGAUUACCUAACAUAUCGUGCUCCGAACAGAGUAACAUAUGAUCGAACAUCGAUGAUGGAAAUAGAGUUCUGAUCUAAAUAAAUAAGCACCCUGAUUUUCCAAGGGGUCACCUGUUUUGACUUAUUCUAGUGGCUCUGUCUCUUGUCCACUGUUUGCUGGCACAACGUGAUAUGGUAAUUCUUCAUGGGGUGAUUCGUGUAGAAGUAUGGGUAUGAAUAGGGGUUAAUAGUGAUGCAGUUAUAAGUGUACCACAAGGGUGCCGAGAUGCGUAUGGUCUCGUGCAUAAUAGCAUAUCACCGCCAAUGUAACUUGAUGUAGUAAGAGAUUUCUUUAUUUUUGGAAAGUCGUAUGGUGUUAUGUUACUCUCAGGCCGUUGGAGUGAAGUGAUUUUAAUGUAUGAGUUCUCCUAUACUCUGUGAUAAAGUGGAUAAAUAUAUAUGGAGGUGCGGUUCUAGAAAAGGGGUAUAGAUAAAUUUCCUCUUCAAGCCUAUUUAAGUCCUGCUCCUUUUAAGUGGAUUAUUUAAUCAACCCUUUUGUAUAUGUGGGGGGAUGUAAUAAGUCGAGAUGUAUUUCUGACCCUCGACAGAGAAGGAGAAAGUAGCAGGAGGUAUAUUUGGUUUCACCCCUGAGUCUAGCGAGAAUCUUUUACAUUUGUCCCCAUGCAAGGAGAAGUCGUUCUUGGUUCAUUGCUUGCUGUUGGUUGUCUACUCCUCGCCUGGUUACUAGGGUAAAAAAAUUUAAUUUUCUCGGUUUUACCAUGUGUGCAUAUCUUAUGUAGAUAAGGUGUGUGUGGUCGCUGGUUAGUAGGAUGAUUGGAGUGGUAGGGUCAACACACUUGGCACACCACAUUGGCUUGAUUUCUUAGGCCUUCAAAUUUCUUCAAAACAGGCACGCCUAUCUUCGGCGGUUGGUUCCAGGUCUAUGGUUGGCUGGACAGGCUUGGGGCCAGGAGUCGGUGCACUCAGCUUCCUAGAGUAUGGGGCUCACACAGAGAGAGAUGAUAUGGCUUUCGUAAAAUGGCUCCACAAUGGGCUAAUGCGUCUCGUGACAACACUGCUUUUGUGUAUUUACUUAUGUGACCUUAUCAGACAGCUCAACGCUCAAGAGAAAGACAUUAGAUGCGGACUAAAGUGACAUAGGACCUAUCGCUUAAUAUAAGGCGCUAUGAAGUCGCAGUCGACUCAAAGACCAAAGCCGACAUGCUACAAGCUCAUGUCACUUAGUGAAGCGCAGACGUCCUUUACACAUGAGAUCGGGGCACAGCAUAAGAGAACUAUGGUCCUAAUCCACGAAGCACUGGUUGGAGUUGAGAGACAAAUGUAUAGAGAAGACGAGGUCACAGGGAUUCAAACUCUGGCCUGAUGCCCUCCAAAGCUUACGCUCAGAAUUGUCUAUAUACUCGGUCGAUAUUGCUGGCUUAUCUGUGUGCUGGUCACGGAUAGGUAAGAUACAGAAUACACUCAAUAAAGGUAGAAAUAAACACCCGUACACUAAGGGAUGGUUUUAGGUAUUCGAAGAGGCUCUCAUGGCUGUGGAGAUGGGUGGUGCACAUGGAAAUACAACAUGUUAACGCCCUGUGUUCAAUGGUAGUGGGUCUUCGCAGGGUGCAGAGAGAUUGAGGAAGUGCUGUGAAUGAGAGCAGAUAAAAGGGGCUUCAAAGAAUAUAAAGUACUGAAGAAGAUGCCCACAAAUGUGGCGAGCGGUAUCGUCUCUACUCCGGCAUUCAGUACGCUGAAGAAGAAAGGCCUAUUAUGCGACCAAUGAAAGGUGGAAGAUGGAAUGAUAUCUUCUCCUCAACAUUGUCUUAACUAGAGUGCCUAGUGUGAGACAAUUACACAAGUGAAGAGGCUCCUCCGCUGUGGUUGUGAUAGUUAUAACUUCCCAGACAGACUAUAUAGUUAAAGGGCGAAGAGUCAACUCUCAAUUAGUAGUGUGACUUUGUUACUCCUACUCGGGUGAGGAAUGAACAAAAUAUGGUUGACUACGGUUCACCGAAAGAAUCAUCCGGCGUGCCAAUUAUUAUAUGGCACGCAGCAGUGACUCGCUUUUAUAUAAGCGGAUGGGGCUCGCGGUGCGAUUGCUGAUAGGACUCCAUUUCUAAUGGAAAAAUUCUGUAUGCCUUUAGCCGAUCCCAAACCAAACAAAACAAUAUAGUCACGGUUUCCUGUGAUGCCCCCUCGAGCUAAAGGGACCCAAUCCUUCCUUGUCGUAUUGGGAGCUUAAAAGGUGGACACCUAACACCCGGAUAGUCCGCUCGUAACAAAGAAGCUAAUAGAUAUUUCCGGUUCACCUUUGGAAAAGGCUUGCUAUUUGAAACGUGAUAUGUUAUACUCGCUGGACGGUCUUGUCUAGAAUAUAAAAAGAUCAGCAGUGCCUCAAGGACUUGUCUACCCUCUGCUUAGCUGAUGAUUUAUCUCGCCUAGUUAGGGAGUCAAUUUGCUUUCCUAUAUGGUGAUAAUAAAAGGAGAUGAGAUAAUGCUCAUCACCAAAUAGCAAAAGGAAAACCCAAAGAAGAAAGCAAAUUCCAAUAAAAAAAUGGCAAAGUUUCAGCCAAUCUGCACAAGCAGGAUGUUUUUGGCUAUAAUUCGACUUUCCCGAAGAGUUUUAAUGCAAGGCUAAUUGGAUAAGGAACCUAAGAGGCUGAUUAUCCUUGUGUCCAAAUUUCACAAUUUUCCCUAAAGCCAAACGUUCCAGUUUUCAAAGUUAAUCCCGCAUAAGUUGUUUUCCCGUCAGAACUACGCAGCUGUAGGAAAAUGACGAGUUGAAGGCUUUCCCCUUUUUUCCUAGUGGUGUACGAAAUAUGCCUGAAAAGAUUAGAGAUAAAGCUACGUUUCCCAUACUUUUACAGAAUUUUCCAAGAGAGAAAUCAACCUCAAGCUCUACGUGCAAGUCAGACUACGUGUUUCCCAAACCAAGGACAAGUCUUCAAGUUUCCCGAACCAAAAAGGAAAAUACCCUCUUUGUUGUGGAAAAGAAAAAGGGAAAGAAAAAAAAAGUCCAAAUCCUACUUACCCAAGGACAAGCAUUUAAUUUUUCCAAAACCUCGAAGGAAAUCACCAAAGCUUUCCAAUAUUUUGAAGGAAAUCACCCUCAUUACCAAAAUUGAAAGAGAUUCCUACCCAAGGAAGGAAAAACAUUUUUUUUCCUACAACCACAAGGAAAAAGUUCAAAAUACACCAAAUGUAUUUUCGUAAAAAAUUUAUGGACAAUCAAUACGCACAAUAAGUAUGUGCUGAUUUAUCCAUUUCCAAAAUUUCUUUCAAGAUCAAGCCUCUACGGCCCUUGAAGAAUUUUUUUUUUCAUUUAUUCAAGACCAAGCUUCUAUGGCCCUUGAAGAAAAAUUUCAUUUCAUUUAAGAUCAAGCCUCUACAGCUCUUAAAGAAAAAUUUCAUUUCAUUUCAUUCAAGAUCAAGCCUCAACGGCCCUUGAAGAAAUGUUUCGUUCAAGAAAUGCGCCUUAACGGCCCUUGAUGAAAUUCAUCAUUUCAAUUCAAGAAAUACGCCUCAAUGGACCUUAAAGAAAUGUUUCGUUCAAGAAAUACGCCUCUACGAGCCUUGAAGAAGCAAACUAAUACAAGAUCAAGUCUCGACAACCCCUUGAAUUAGAACAUUCAUAUUAUAGGACUUCAAAAGAUGUUUCCUACAUGUAACAAGUACAUGCCUACAAUGCGGCUUGAAGUGGGGGCAUUUUUAGACAUGUAAAUUUCGUUGCAUGCAAAUGAUGCAUCAUAAAGCUCCAUGUGGCAUAUGAUUCAUCAUAAAUGGACAAGUCAUCAAUGACAUAUGGCACAAAUCAAGCAAAGGAAGCUCAAAAACAUUCCUAAAACUUGGCAAAAGGGGGAAGAAAUCCUUUAAAAUCUGCAAGGGGUCUAAAAUCUCUCAAAACCGAAAAGAAAGCUAAAGCAUCUUCACAAAACAAGCAAGAAUUGAAGAUUGCUCGCAAAAUAGGCAACAAACCCUAUAGAUUUCAGCCAAGCAAGGGAAAGUGGCUGAAAUUACGACACAAAACAUGCCUAAAUUCUCCUAUGGGGGAAUCAAGACACAAAUCAAAGCCAAAUCCACCCAAAGGCAAACCUUGAGAAGCCUAUAAAUACAAGGUCUUCCCACAAGCAUAAGGGUCGAAAUUCUUGCAUUCAGAAGAACCUCUACCAAACCUUUGAAGACUAAUAUGCUGCCAAAGCUCUCUUCGAAGAACAUUCGAUCAAAGCCAAAGCUUUCUCUCGACCAAAGCCGAAGCACUACCCUUGAAUAAUCAAUAAGCACUCAUGCCGAUUCCUUCAAGACUUUGUUGCAAGCUCAUAAACUUGUAACGACGUUCGAUUCAAGAUCAAGUCGACCCUUGAAUCAACAAAAUCCUACAUCAACAUCAUCUUUGCCGCAUCUUUGAAGCAAUGACCAUCUACGCGUUGUUUUCAAGCUUAAAACUUGAAGUAAUUGUUCAAUCGUUCGUCCGAGAUCAAGUCAUCGCGACCCUUAGAUCAACAAUCAACCAUCUACAUCAAAUUUGAAGACUAAAUCUGGAGAAAAGUUGUAAACAAAGAUUGUAACCUACAAAUUCAAAUUAAUACAAAUAUACUUUAUACACGUGUUCUUGUUUUAUUCGAUACAAAAUUUUCAUGUUUACAGUUAUCUUCCUUUUUCUAGAAGGCUGCUUGGUUUCGUCAAGUCUUUCCAAGGCCAACCAUCAUGGAGGAGAGCUAGCCGUGUUGCUUUGUUUCUUAGGUUUUGACAACCUUUAAAAAACAAAGCUUCGAGGUCUUGGCGUGUCAAGCCACUUGAAAACGAAAGUUUGGUCUUGACCACCAAUGUGAUGAAGUGUCGAAAUUCUAGGUUUUGAAUGAUUCAGCCUAUUAAAGACUGAUGUUCGAGAGGCAGGUUUAGGCUUUUCUUGAUUUUGUUCAACGCUCACGCUGGGGUGUUGAGCGCUAACGUUUUUCGCUUUGCUUGAAAUCUUCACGGGUGUAUUUGGUAAGAAGCUAAGUUCAGCUUGGUUAUUGUAAACUUCAUAACCAUGCUCCUUUAACUUUUUUUUAGUCUCGUGAGGUCUUGUUAUUUUUUGUUGACUGUGUUUGCAUUCUUCUUUUCAAAAUUUGAGGAGGAGGUGAAAUCAUACCCAUCCUUUGACAUGAGUUUGUAGGCGUUUGGGUCAAAACCUUAUUCGGUCAUCUUGGUUGGAAGAAAGCUUGGUUCCGCCUCCUUUGGCAAGGGUUUUACAAAACCUUGUGGUGGUUUUGAAACUUUAGCGUUGCCUAGCUGUGCUAGAGGUAAAACUGCAUUUGUCUUUAGCAGCUUUACUUCGUUUAUGAGCAGUUAUGUGUCGGCUUCGCUUGUUCUAGUUUCGAAUAGGGAUUGCCCAUUCUUUCUAUUUGAUCAUUUUGAGGGCAUCACACUCAUUUUGGUUGUUUUGGGUUUAGCAGGCUCAUCAUCAUUUUUUCUUAAAGAUGGCACGGCUUCCUCUUCUUGCUUCUUGGGCAUAGUUUGCCACUUUUUCCUUUUGGGUUGGGAUUUGCCUGUAGAUUUGAUCUUUUUUUAAGAGCUUCAAGUACCAUGUCUUCAUCCAUGUAGAACUUGGCAUCCGCGAAGUGUGAUUCGGCUUCAAUGAAUGGCUUAAUGUCGCCUUGUAUCACAUUCACCCAUUUUCGGUAGAACUUUAGGCAUUAAGGAAGGGUGGACGACAUUACUCCAGUCCCGUGGAUCCAAGGCCUUCCUAAGAGCAAGUUGUAGAUAGUUCUUGCAUCAAUCACAUGGAAUAACAUGCUUGAUUUGAGUUCGCCAAUGGUCAUUUCCACUUGGAUCAUGCCCAUCGCUAUUUGUCCUUCUUGGUUAAAUCCUUGGAUUAGGAGGCGGCUUCGGGAUAAUGCAUCUACCAUGAUACCGAUUGUGAUCAUUGUUGACUUUGGCAUGAUGUUUAUGGCCGACUCAUCAUCCACAAGCAUGCGUUGAUUUUGUUCUCUCUCACGUACCCAGAGACGAAGAGAUGACGGUUGUGAGACUUUGACCUUAGCACCAAGUCUUCGUCAGUGAAGUUGAUUGUAUCAUGGGCAGCACAGCGUGUGGCAUACUCAUGUGGCUAAAGUUUCAAGCCUUCGUCCUUGCUUUCUUGCACCUCGUGGUCGUCGGGACUUGUCAAGACCGCUAUGUCUUCAGGUCUUCUUUGGGCUUAAGGGUUUUCUCUUCCUCGAUGGCGAUAACUUUACCUUUUGAAGGCUCUUCUAUCUCUACGUUAACCAUGUGAUAGGUAACAGUAAUGCACUAUUGGAAGAAUUCCUUCGGGAAGUACUUGUGCAAAGAGACAAGAAUGUGUGGCUCUUGCUCCAUAGGUUUCCCAGCGUACGUUGGCUUAGCAGCUCUUAUUUCUUUUGGGAUACCUACUGUUGUGGUAGCGGUGCUUUGUCCCUAGUUCCACUUUUGGCCUUGUGGCUUGUGGUCUUGGCUUCCUUGUCCUUUUGUAGGUCACCAAUGUUCAUCCUUCUUCAUCAUCGGUAAGCGUAUUUUGGUCGCUUGCCCCCAGUGAUGGCUGUACAAAAAGUGUUGUGUGGCUUGAACAUGGUCGAGAGUGGUCAUGUGUCACUUGGAGAAGCACAAGAUCGAAGGAUCCAAACACAAUUAUGGUAGUGUGUGUUGCGGCCGUGUCUUUCAAUUCUAGUUCAAUUUGCCAUUGUUGUGAUAGCUUUAUGAUGAGCUCCUUGAGGAUGAAACACUUGUCAACAAGAUGACUCACGAUAUGAUGGUAUUUACAGUACCUAGGAUCGUUAACGCGAUUCAUCUCUUCAGGACGCUUGCAUUCGAGUAGCUUGAUCACCUUUUUUCCAACAAGUCGUCUAACAUUGCAGCCACUUUAGAGUCAAGAAAAAGGUAUGUCUUCUGCUCCAGCUCCCUCAAGGUGUUUUUGUAUCUGUCUUGGGUGUGAGAAGGCUCACCUCUCCUUAUCUCCUUCGCUUUGUUCUUAGAAGAAAUCUUGACGGGCCCAAAAGAGGGCUUGAUGGGGUUAGCGUUGACAGUAAAAACUUCCUUGGUGGGCUUCUUCCUAGUCUUGUCCACUUUUGGAGUAAACACCUUGUCCUUCUUGAAGUUGGUGAUUGGCUCAUUUUUCCCAUGAUUGGCAAUACUCAGCUUCAUGUCAUAGGAUUGAGUUGCCAAUUCAUUAAACGUUUCGUAGUUUUAUGCCUUAGAGAAUGUAAUGUGACCCUUAGUGUAUGCCUUGAACACACAUCUGAAUGGCGGAGGUAUCAAAAAGCCAGUCUUUGCAAUCCAUACUUAAUGAAUGCCAUCUGUUGAUGUAGUCGACGACACGUUCGUCCUUCCACUGCUUCAUAGUUGUCAACUCUGACAUGUUUACAGUGCGGCGAGUACUGCAGAAGUGGUUAAGGAAUUUCCUUUCAAGCUGAUCCCAACUGUUGAUAGAUUUGGGCUCGAGGUUGGUGUAUCAAUCAAAGUCGUCACCUUUCAGAGAGCGUACGAAUUGCUUGAUAAGGUAGUCAUCCUCCAUCCUAGCGUUGUUGCAAGUUUCUAUGAAAUAGGCAAUAUGUUGUUCGGGAUUGCCCUUUCCAUUGAAUUGCAUGAAUUUUGGCGGUUGAUAACCCCUUGGCAUUCUCAAGGCAUCAAUCUUCUUGGAAUAUGGCUUUGAAUUCGGCACAGAGUCAUCUGAGCUCCCUUCGUACUGCGUCUUGAUGGUGUUAGUGAUCAUCAUCUGCAGCUGCUGGAUAGAAAGAGAUCCCAUGAGCAUCGUUGCUUGGUCCAGCUUCUCCUCGGCUUUUUCUAUCAGAGGUUCAUCAUCUUCAUCAGUUUCCUUCUAUUUUUGGUUAACCUUUAGGUCGUGGUCAGCUUUUUCGUGAUGCUGCGCCUCUAGUCGGUUAACGAGUGUGUCAAUUUGCAAGUCAUUUUCCUUCACGAUCCUUAUUAGCCUUGCAAUUGUUUCAUUCAUUUAAGCUAACUGUUCCUCAAUGGAAGUUGCACCAGUAGUCAUGACUUGCAUGGCUACGAGAUAUGAGCUGCUGCUUGAGUCGACAUUAGAAGUUAACGACUCGGAGUACCACAUCGAACUUUCUUCCCUUGGUGCUCUUAGUGAGGCCAGGGUGAUCAUGGCCUUGUACCUCGAGUGUUCUUGCUCAUUUGGCAGAGUUGAUGUAGGGGGUGGAAGGCACGGUAGAGAAAGAGUUAUUGCCUUGCUUCGAGUUAUGACGCCUAAAUGCCACCACUUGUGGCAAGGAUGUUCUUGUUCUUCGCGUUGGUUGCGGGAACAACUUGAUCCUUUCUUGAUGUCAUGUGUGUUUUUUGUGGAUUUAAAGACAGAGAUGAGAGGCAGAGAAGGUCCUAUUGGGCGUGCCAAAUUUGUAAACACGAAAAAAUCUAUAUCAAAUUAAACAGGAACACGUGUACAAAGUAGAUUUGUAUUGAUGAAUUUGUAGGGUUGCAAUCUCUAUUUACCAUUUUUCCUCUGAUUCUAUCUUCAAAUUUGAUGUAGAUGCGUAGGUUGUUGAUCCAAGGGUCACGAUGACUUAAUCUCAGACGAACAAUUGAACGUGCUUCAAUUUUUUAGCUUGAAACAAUGCGUGGAUCGUCUUUACCUCAAGGUGCAAAGAUGAUGUUGAUGCGGGAUUUCGUUGAUUCAAGGAUCUUGGCUAAUUGAUCUUGAAAUGAACAUUGUUACAAGUUUUGAGCUUGCAACAAAGUCUUGAAGGAAUCGGCAAAUGUGCUUGUUGAUUCUUCAUGGAGUGCUUUGGCUUUGGUCGACAGAAAGCUUCAGCUUUGGUUGCGUGCUCUUCGAAGAGGGCUUUGGCAGAGUAUUAGUCUUCAAAGAUUUGUGCAGAGGUUUUUCUCAAUGUGUAAUUUUUGACCCCUAAGUGUGCCUUAGGACCUUGUAUUUAUAGACUUCCAAAGCCAUACAUUUGGAUGGAUUUGGCCUUGAUUUGGGUCUUGAUUCAUCCAUAGGAGAAUUUAGGCAUGUUUUGUGUCUUAAUUUCAGCCACAUUCCUCAUAUUGGCUGAAAUUUAUAGGCAUUGUUGCCUAUUUGUGAGCAAUCUUCAAUUCUUACUUAUUUUGUGAAGAUGCUUUGGCUUUCUUUCCGGUUUUAAGAGAUUUUGGGCCCUUUGCCGAUUUUAAAGGGGAUUUUCUCUCUUUUGUCAAAUUUUGGGAAUGUUUUACACUUCCUUUGCUUGAUUUGUACAUAUGUCAUUGAUGACUUGUUCAUUUGUGAUAAGUCAUAUGCUACGUGGAGCUUUGUGAUGCAUCAUUUGUAUGCAACGAAAUUUAUAUGUCUAAAGUCGCCACAAAGACAAGUACUACCCUAUUCCUUCUGACUAAGUGAGCUAUACUCCAACAACAACGUUGAGUACCAAGCGCUGAUCAUUGGACUCCAAAUGGUGACUCCAAACUCAUAAUUAAUCAAUUCUUAACUGAAUACAAAUUAAGGAAAGAUAAUCUCAUCCCAUACUUUCAGCUAGCAACUUAACUACUACAAAAGUUUGAGGUCGUGAUGCUAGAACAUGUGCUAAGAAAAGAAAAUCAAAUGGUGGACGCUCUUGCUAAUCUAGGCUCAAGUAUAGCACUAGAAGAAGACGAAGUUGCGGACGUGCCUGUUUGCCAAAGAUGGGUGAUCCUACUCAUUACUAAAAUGCUACUAGAUAACACAAACAUUGUCUUAGUACUUCCAGUCGACACUAAAGAAUGAAGACAGCCGUUGAUCGACUACUUGGAGCAUGGAAAGCCUCCAAACGAUCCUAGACACUGCUCUGAAAUACGUCGACGAGCACCUCGCUUCUUCUACUACAAAGGAACACUCUACUGAUGCUCUUUUGAAUGAGUACUUCUAAGAUGCCUAGGUGAGGAAUAAGUUAAUCAAGCCAUGGAAGAAGCACACUCAGGCGUAUGCGGAGCACAUCAGUCUGGACCAAAACUACACUUCCAGCUUAAGAUAAUGGGUUACUACUGGUUGAGCAUGAUGAAUGAUUGUUUGGAACACGCCAAAAGGUUCCAAGCCUACCAAUUCCAUGCCAACUUCAUACAUCAACCACCUGAGCCAUUACACCCUACAGUUGCUUCAUGGUCAUUUGAUGCAUGAGGAUUGGACGUCGUAGGACCAAUCACACCAAAGUCAUACGCAGGAGAAGCUUACAUCCUAGCUGCAAGAGAUUACUUCUCCAAAUGGGCUAAAAUCGUACCCCAAAGGGAAGUCAAUAAGAAAAUUGUCAUCCAUUUCAUCAAGAAGCAUAUCAUCCACCAAUAUGGUGUGCCUCAGUACAUCAUCACUGACAACGGAAAACAGUCAUCCAACCAACUCAUGGACGAGCUCUGCGAGAAAUACAAGUUCAAGCAUCACAAGUCUUCAAUGUAUCAUGCUCCGACCAAAGGUCUCGUGGAAACAUUCAACAAAAUGAUGUACAACCUUUUGAAGAAGGUAAUCAGCCGAACAAAGAGAGACUGGCACGAAAGAAUAAGCGAAGCACUUUGGGCAUAUAGGACGACACAUAAAAUUCUUACCCAAGCUAUGCCUUAUUCUCUUGUAUAUGGCGUGGAAGUUAUUUUUUCACUCGAAAGUCAAUCCCCUCACUAAGGAUGGCUAUACAAGAAGGCUUGAUUAAAGAGGAAAAUGCAAAGCUACGACUUGAAGAGUUGGAAGCACUCGACGAAAGGAGGCUUGAAGCUCAACAACACUUGGAAUGCCAUCAAGCACGGCUAUCCAAGGUAUUCAACAAGAAGGUCCGCCCAAGGUUUUUCCAAACUGGAGAUAUUUUCUUGGCAUUACGAAUGCCUAUCAUCACAACUCACAAGACAAAAAGAAAGUUCACAUCAAAGUGGGAUGGACCUUACGUAAUACAAGAGGUCUACACCAACGGCUCCUACUUAAUCAUGGCGGAAGACGGCUUAAAGAUCGGCCCCAUCAAUGGAAAAUUCUUUAAGCAUUACUACCCUUAAACCAAAGAAGCAAUGCUCUUCACCUGCAUGAGCCCAAACUACACACGGCACAAAGCUCCUCGCCUGCAAAAGCCUAAACUACACAUAGCAACAAUGCUAUUUGUUCUCACGAGCUUAAAAGGUGACACCCAAUGCUCUUUGUUCGCACGAGCUUAAAAGGCGACACCCAAUGCCCUUGGACCACAAGAGCAUAAACUAUGUAUGGUAAAAAAAAAAAAAAAGUCAAAAUCAUCAAAAGUAAUCCAUCAUUCCUUUGAACUACGUCAUGACUUGACCCUUCCUCAAUCGAGGGUACGUAGGCAACUUGAAACUUGAAAACUUCAAGUACAGUUACAUCAUCAACAAAAACCCAAAUACUUUGAAGAAUAAAGAGAAAAUUCAAGAAUGUGGAUACUUUAUUUCUUUAAAUGAAGAAUUCAGCUACAAAGUCGUAUUACAAAAUGAGCAAAAAAGCAAAGAAGGCUUAAAGUACAAAUAACAGAAGACACUACUUGAAAGCUAUGUCCCUAAAACAACGAUGACGAUCUUCAAGCAAGCCUUCCAAAGUCUUCAAAGUCUCCACAUCGGUGGGGGACAAGGUGGGCACUUCCAUGGCUGAACCUUUCUCUUGCUCUAGGCGUGAAAUCUCCUCUUGAUGCUGAGAAAGUAUAGCUUCCUUCUCCAAGAGAAAACCUUGAAGUCGUGAUGCUUCAAUUUCAAAUUGCUCUCACUCACGAGCUAAUGCUUCUAGACAUGCUUAGACAGAAGCUAAAGAAGUCCUUGUGACUUGAUAACCUUUCGAAGAAACUUACUAAGAAGACUGAACUUGGGAAAUUGAUAAGUCUAUUGUCGCAAGUUGUUGAGCUCUAACCUGUGAACUCAACUUCUUUGAGGAAAUAGCAUACAAGUAAGAAUAAUCAGUUGAGGUGCCCAUAACUUUUGCAAUCUUGUUUCUCAAGAGUGAGGAAUUAACAUUAAGGUUGUCAAUCCCAGAAAUAAGCUUCGACAAGUCCUCAUUGAGCAAAGCAAGGUCCUGUACUGGGCACUUUGAAAUCUUAUUCUCAAUGUGGCUCUUGAUAUCCAUAGCCGCUCGAAGGUUGAUGCGAUGGAUAAGCUCCUCAGUGCCACUAAGGUUCUGCCCUCUAAGAGGGAUCUCGGAGCUAGAUGGCAAAUGUGUUGGACGCAUGAUGAACUCAUGCAUACACAUGGAAAACUUAGGCAACUUGGCGGAUUUGUAAUAAGCUCUGCAUCGGGUGGGUCUCCAAUCUCCUCGUCCAUGGGUAGACUACUUCCAAAUAGCAUUUCCAUAAAUGAAUGAACACCCAUGUUCACCAAAUCAAAGGAACAAGAGGGUCUAGCCUAAAGAAGACAAAGAAAGAUGUUCGAAACAAAAGCUAAACCAAUGAAAGCAGGAGAAAUCACAAGAAAGAAGGAAAUACAUACAUAUUUCUCAAGUGACGCACGACCAUCAAAUUGAGGAGGCCUAAACACUUUCUUCUUCUUAUGAUGGAAAUUGACAUCACUGUCAUCCUGAGCACCUUCAAGUGGUCGCUUGUUCAAAACUUGUUGACGUUACAGUAAAACAAACUCAUCUUCGUCACUAGCCUCUUUUGAAGCAUCCGAAGGCUGAAAAGAUAAAAACGGGCAUUGAAGAGCUAAGGUCGUAGGUCUAUCUUGCAAAGGAGCUGCGCUCGCACAAUUGAAAGGUGCCAAUUGCGUAAGAACCGCAGAACAGGGCAUCAUUGCAUGAACAAGAAGAAUUGGUGCCACUUGCCAUCCCUAAGUUUUCAUGGUGUACCUUUAACCACUAAUCUACAUAGGCUCGGGUCACUGGAUUACUCUUGAACUCGUCAUUGGCUAGUAGGGUGAUAGAAGCAUUUGUGCAUGCACGAGUACAAGACUCCCAAUGCACAUACAUGGCUUACAAGGAUUCCAACUGUGCGUUUUCCUUCAGCUUGCUUGGCACAUGUUGGACAAAGCCAUACUGCCUACUAAAACGGUGAGGACUAUACGGUUGAACAAUACAUCGGUCUUCUUGCCGCAAAGAAACAUAACCCAAGCGAAAACUUGUAAAAUAAGACAAGUUUGAGAAACGAAUGUGUGAAUUAUCUAUGAGGCCUCACCGUUCCGAGCCAACCCUUGCCAGAUGAUCCAUUCUCAAACAUUCACAGCUUCUAAACAACGCUUGCGCAUGCAAAUCAUCAAGGCUCUUUGCAGAAAGCACGCCAGAGUACUUUCUCUUCAAAGGCCCCAGCUUGGCUGAAGUUGACUAAGAAGGCCUCAACUUGUCUAAAGUUGACGAAGAAAAAUGAGUGCCAAAAUAGUCACCCAACCAACCGUACACAUAGUGGUUAGGGAGUACCACAGCACAAUCUUUAGUGCUCGCUAAGUUCGAAACAAUACACAAGCUGUCAUAAAUAUUGGCUAAGACUGGAAUGGUGAGGCUAAAUGAUUCACCUGCAGCCAUCUUGCUAGCCACUUUAAAGACUUCAGGAUGGAUAAAGUUAACGUCAUCUUUGGGGAAACAAACUUACAAAGCCAACAAGCUAAGAAAGUGGCUAGGUAAGAUUCUUCUACAUGCUCUGACACUACACCAAGUUCGUCAAACACUUUCAACUCAGUAGGAACAUGGCGCUUAACUGAACCAAUGGCACCUGAUAGAUCUAAGUCUCCAUUUGGCUUGGUUGUCUUGUUGCAGCCACUUUUCUUUAAAGGCUUAUUGUACUUCAUGGCACCCCAAUACCAAAAUCGGAUUGAUGAAGAUAUCUUCACACCUGACUUACCUUAAGGCUCCUGGGAAAGCUUGUGAUACGCCCAAGACAAAUAGCGGCAACUAGUAGGCAAUAAUCAGCUAUUGUGAUGAGAAAAUUCCUCCACACUAGGAAUAACCUGGUCAAAUAACUUACCAUGGAUCGGCAAGCCUCUUAUCUUAUGGAGAUCCUAAAGUGAAAUCGAUAUCUCCCCUUGAGUUGUGUGAAGUGUGUUGAUCGUUGAACAUCAAUGCUUAAAGAAUGCACGAAAGACAGAAGGAUGAUGAUCAUGACUAAACAAAGAUGCGUAUACGGCAUGAUAAAGGCCCACGUUAGUAAGCACAUCUUUGGAUUGGCUCAAGACAUCUUUAACCACUCCCAGUAAAACUCAGCAAAGAUGACAUCUCUAAUAGUCGACAAAGUGCUAUUCUAAGUCAUAGCUCCGCUAUGGAUGCGAUCGCCAAGAAGCUCAAAUGAAGCCAGUGGAUUGUCACAAACAUGGUGCAAAGGUUUCAAGAUAAGAAUCCUCGAUGUACACACCUUCUUCUUUGUAUUUAGUUGACCAAAAAUUAUCACCUCCCCAGAUGACCACGACUUGAUAUGCAUCGAGUUGUCUUUCACAAGAAGAACAAGCGCCUUAGGGCUAGUCAACAGUGUACAAAGCUUCAACGUCGUUCCCUUAUCUUGCAAAUCGCCUUCCUUUGCAAGAAUGGUGAUGGUAUUGCUCUUAAAGAACUUGAAAAAUACCAUGGCUGCAACAAAACAAACAAGGCAACAUAAGCAUAAGAGUGGGGCGGCAAGAAAAAAAAAUUGCUUCACUAAAGCAAAAGACAUGCGAGACAAACCUCGUGAGCGUUGAAGGAUGACGAUGACAAAGUCACUACGACAAAAAGAAAUCAGCCACAAAGCUUGAGCAGCACAACAAUGAGGGCAGCUACAAGACGGUCCUUCAAAGCAUGCUACAGUAGCAAAGAAAACCAAAAUGCUACACAAUUGCACUACGCAACCUCGCAAUGAUUACGCAAGCAGUUUCUUGCAUUGCACGGCAACAUCACCACCGAGGAAAACUGUGACCAAAGGGCACUACACAACGUAACCUCGCUGUAGUCUUUCGCAUAGCACCACAUGGUAAAAGGUGAUGCACUACAACAAGCACCAAGCAGUAAAAGGCACAGCUCCAAGUAGCAAAACCUACAACACUAAGCAACAACAAGCACAUGGCAAGCACAGAGGCAGUGCACGACAAGGGUGGUAUGUGACAAAACGUACACCCAAUUGUCCUAUAAAUAAGGGUCAAUUUCUUCCUAAUGCUAUAAGGGAAAUACAUACCAAAUAGCAAAAGGAAAAUCAAAACAAGGAAGCACAUUCUACCUACAAGAAGGAAACAAAUUUCAAGCAAAAAAGGCAAUGCGUAUGCACGGCAAUAAAGGGGAAAAAAUACUUCUUUUUGUUGCAGUCCUAUUAGAAUAAGAAUGUGAUUGUGUAAAUCCUAGUAUAACUUGGAAUAUCUCUUAUAUUUCUAUCAGGAGUAUAUUACCUAUUAAAUGUUGUAAUCCUAAAGGGAAAGCUUUUUACCUAUCCUACUACUAUAAAUAAAGGCACAAUGGGAUGGAAUAAAACACAUCCACAAUUAUGCAUCUCUCUUCUUCUCUCUCUAUGCCGCACUCUCUCCCUCUCUCUAUGGCCUCAAUAAUUGUUUAGUAAAUUAUGCCUACAACACUUUUUUUUUUUGCAACAAAAAUCAGCAAAGAAAACAAAACAAAACAAAAAAAAAGGAAAGGGCUUCAAAAUUUUCAAAAACAUCAAAGGAAAGUACCUCUCCUUGCCAAAAUACAAAAGGAAAUCCCUCCAAGGGAAGGACAAGUCUUCAAGUUUCCCAAAUCAAAGGGGAAAACACCCUCCUUGGCCCAAAAGAAAAAAAAUAUGAAAAGGGAAAGGAAAAAAAAAAUGCAAAUCCUACUUACCCAAGGACAAGAUUAAAGCUUUCCAAAAUCUUGAAGGAAAUUAUCAAAGCUUUCCAAAACCUUGAAGGAAAUCACCAGAGUUUUCCAAAACCUUGAAAGAAAUCACCCUCAUGCCAAAAUUGAAGGAGGCUCCAACUCAAGGAAGAAAAAAGCAUUUUCCCCACACCCACAAUGAAAAAAUCCAAGCCUCAAAAUAUACCAAAUGUAUUUUGCCAAAAAAAAUUUGGAAAAUCAUACGCACAAUAAGUAUGUGCCGAUUUAUCCAUUUUCAAAAAAAAAUUCAUUCAAGAUCAAGCCUCUACGGCCCUUGAAGAAAAUUUCCAUUUCAUUCAAGAUUAAGCUUCUACAACCUUUGAAGAAAAUUUUCAUAUCAUUCAAGUCCAAGCCUCAACGGCCCUAGAGGAAAUGUUUCGUUCAAGAAAUACACCUUAAUGGCCCUUGACAAAAUUCAUCAUUUCAGUUCAAGAAAUACACCUCAACGCCCCUUGAAGAAAUGUUUCGUUCAAGAAAUACGCCUCAAUGGCCCUUGAUGAAAUCAUCAUUUCAGUUCAAGAAAUACGCCUCAACGGCCCUUGAAGAAAUGUUUCGUUCAAGAAAUACGCCUCUACAGCCUUUGAAGAAGCAAACUAAUUCAAGAUCAAGUCUCGACGACCCUUGAGUUAGAAUAUUCGCAUUGCAGAACUUCCAAAACACAUUUCCUACAUGUGACAAGCACAUGCCUACAACGAGCCUUGAAGUGGGGGCAUUUGUAGACAUGUAAAUUACGUUUCAUGCAAAUAAUGCAUCACAAAACUCCACGUGGCAUAUGACUAUCACAAAUGAACAAGGCAUCAAUGACAUGUGGCACAAAUCAAGUAAAGGAAGCUCAAAAGCAUUCCUAAAAUGCGGCAAAGGGGAAGAAAUCUCCUUAAAAUCGGCAAGGGGCCCAUAUUGCUCCCAAAACCAGAAUGAAAGCUAAAGCAUCUUCACAAAACAAGCAAAAAUUGAAGAUUGCUCGCAAAAUAGGCAAGAAAGCCUUAUAGAUUUCGGCCAAGAAAAGGAAAGUGGCUGAAAUUAAGACACAAAACAUGCCUAAAUUCUACCAUGGAUGAAUCAAGACACAAAUCAAUGCCAAAUCUAUCCAAACGCAAGCUUUGAGAAGUCUAUAAAUACAAGGUCCUCAGACAAGCAUAAAGGUCGACAAUUUCUACAUUGAAAGGCCAAAAUUCUCACAAAAGGAGAACCUCUGCCUUUGAAGACUAAUACGCUGCCAAAGCUCUCUUCGAAUAACAUAUAACCAAAGCUGAAGCUUACUUUCGGCCAAAGCCGAAGCAUUCUCUUGAAGAAUCAACAAGCACUUGUGCCGAUUCCUUCAAGAGUUUGUUGAAAGCUUAAAACUUAUAACGAUGUUCGAUUCAAGAUCAAGUCGCCAAGACCCUUGAAUCAACAAAAUGCCACAUCAACAUCACCUUUGCCGCAGGUCAUACACAAACCUAGAGGCAAAGACUAUCCACGCAUUGUUUCAAACUCAAAAUUUGAAGCAAUCGCUCAAUCGUUCGUCUGAGAUCAAGUCAUCGUGACCCUUGGAUCACCAACAUAUGCAUCUACAUCAAAUUUGAAGACUGAAUCAGAGGAAAAUUGUAAACAGAGAUUGUAACCCUACAAAUUCAUCAAUACAAAUCUACUCUAUACACGUGUUCUCGUUUCAUUCGUUAUAGAAUUUUUGUGUUUACAAUGACUUUAGAGGAUUUUAGAGUCAAUGAAUAUAUGACCAAAUGCGUGCUGCUUGUGAACCUCUAAACAUUUCAGAGUUGUAUGAGUACAUCUUUUUAAGGACGAGGAAAGAAGAAAAACAGAUUCCAAACCAUAAUUCUUAUUGGUGCAUCAGACAUAUACACGUACAUAUGUUGCCAUGACAUGUCUCCUUGUGGUUUUAAGAAAAAUAAUUUUUUGAUCAUGCUCACAGACAGAGGUGUUUCUGAGACAGGAAUUAUGGGCCGGAGUUAUUGAUGGGGCAGGAGGCCAUGAUGAGUACACUUCCAUGAAGUGGUGUAACUUUUUCUAAGCAGGAGUUUACUUAAAGAUCUCCAUCACCCAACAAUUACAGACAAAACAUUCAUAUUUAAUGCCUCUAAAUCCAGCACCAGUUGCCAAAGCCAUGAACUCUUCUCGGCUCCGCUCCUUUGCUCCCCGGUUAAGAGUCAGCAUAAGCACAUCAAUCUGGGAUGUGCUCUUCACGGCGGUGCUAGUCUCUGGCAUCGCCGGAAGAAGUGCUUCCACGAUAAUCACUUUUCCAUUGUCUGGAAUAGCGUUGUAACAAUUUUUCAACAACUUUAUGCAGUCUUGGUCAUUCCAAUCGUGAAGUAUCCACUACAAAUUUAUCAAAAGAUACAUUGUAACCAUUGUUUUUAUGACCUCAAACUAAAAAAUAAAAAAAAUUAAUGCUCGAGAAAUUGAAAAAUUACCUUCAUAAAAAUGGCAUCCCCAGAUGGAACACUUGCCAACAUGUCUCCUCCAACAUGUUCGACCCCUGCAAAAAUAAAUUGACUCCUAUUUUAAGCUGCAUGCUUGUGCAUGAUAAAUAAAACUAAGAAGGAAAAUGAUGUUUACCAGGAUAUGAAGGGGCAUGUUUUACAACAUGAGGCAAGUCGAAAUUGAUACCCUUAAUAUGAGGAUAUUUAGAAGUGAUUACACUAAGAUUCACUCCCACAUUACCGCCAACGUCAACAAGUUGAGUAAGUUUCUCAAAACCCUUGUAGACAUGAACAAUCUUCUUCAUGACAAUAGCGGUGUGGUUAAACAUUCCUGUGCUGAAAACUUGAUUAAACCUGGGGUCUAAAUCUAGAUACUCAAAAGAAUGGAUACCAUGGACCCUCUUAAAUGGAGUUCCUCCUUCAGUAACUGCUUCUUUUAGCUGGGGCCUAUCAAUGUCAAAGUGUUACCACCCAAGUUAGAUUUAAAAAGAGAAAAUUACUAUUAAUUAGGCUAAUUAGGAAGAAAAAAACAAGCAUGACACCAAUUUAUUUCAUCAAUGACUGAUGUGGAAAUUUCUAAUUUGUUGUGAAUAAAUAAGUGGCAAGUGUUUCUAGGCAAAAUUCAGGAUCAUUGCUCCGAUUAAUAGGGCCAAGAGAAAAGGGUUAAGACAAUGGUUACAUAGCAGGGCCAAGAGAGUAGUACUAAACAGACCAGUUGUCUAGUAAGAUCUUGUCUUGAAUGAAUGACAUCAAGGGGCCUAAAGAAACACCAUCUUCAUUAGUCACAAAGUAGUUGGACACAGGGCCAAGGCUGUAGAGCCUUUGAGAAUCAGACCCAUCUUCUUCAUUAGCAACAAAAGAGCAGAUGAGAAUAGAGUGACUGGCUAGGAGCCUUAGAAUACGGUCCAACAUCAUCGGUGCCUCAGAAUUCCUGGUGCCGCUGCCGAUAUGGGCUACAAUCUCUGAUGAAGAGAGCUUGGCACCAGGACCGGCUUUUGCUAUGAUGUCGAAAACGCCUAACUCGAUUGCUGAUUGCAUAGACAUGGACAGCACUGAAGAAAACGCAAUCUGCAUGGCAUAGCCGAAGUUUUCCUCUUCUUCCAGCUGCAGGGCCAUUGGACUGUCUAUAUUUGUAUUGUGAUGCUUAAUGCCACUUGAAUGUGUUACUUGUCUUCUAUAUAUACUAGCCAAUGAGCACACACUCUGUAUGUAUGAACAAUUUCAUUUUGUUUUUUGUUUUUUAUUAAGGAAUGUGAUUAGUUUUUUACAUUUUAAAAAGAGUAUGAAAAAAUGAUUGUGAGACAUUUUCUCUUAAGAAGUGCAUAUUUUAUCUUAAUAUUACAUAAUUACUGUUUUGUCCUCCUUAUGUAAAUAUCGUGUAUCAAAAGUGGGGAUAAAAUAGGAAAAAUAAGGAAAUGAUUGUCAUUUUAUCAAAAGAUACAAAAUUACUAUUUUGCCCUCCUUAUGUAAGUAUUGUGUAUUAAAAGUGAGGGCAAAAUAAGAAAAAAAUGGCAAAAAGUUGACAAUGAGGAUUUUCUUAAUAAUAGUAUAGAUAAAGCCAGAACUUCCUUUUGGUUAAUUCAAGGUCCGAUAAUACUUUUUCUUUGACUAUAAUAUUAAAAUUAAGGGAUUUUCUAGCUUUAAUCCUUAAAAAAGAUUGAAAUUUAAAAUAAACCUAGUGUUAGAUUACAUAUUGAUUAUAGUCCCUUGAUAUGUCCUUAAUUCAAAAUAAUUAAUGUGUAUUUUAUUCAAUGUCUCCCAUUAAAUAUUUAAAUUUAUUAAUAUACACAUUUUGUCACACCCUGACCUGGGCCCCACCACAUCCUGAGCUCAAUUCCGCCGUAACUCGAUAUUGUCUGCUUUGGGCCCUAACCACGCCCUUACGGUUUUAUUUCUAGGAACUCACGCGAGCAAAUUUUCCCAGUGGGUCACCCAUCCUAGAAAUGCUCUGGCCCCUUACUCGCUUAACUUCGAAGUUCCUAGAGAACCCGAAACCAGUGAGCUCCCAAAAGGCAUUGUGUUAGGAAGAGGUGGGCAUGUACAUAUAAGGCAUAGAGGAUCCACUUCCCUGGGCGAUGUGGGAUCUAACAAUCCACCCCCCAUAGGGUUCCGAUAUCCUCGUCAGUACACUUCCGGUCAGGGAUUGGCUUUGAUACCAAAUUGUCACAUCUCGACCCGGGCUCGACUCCGCCGUAGCACAAUAUUGUCUCCUUUGGACCCCAACCACGCCCUCACGGUUUUGCUUCUGGAAACUCACGCGAGCAGAACUUCCAGUGGGUCACCCAUCUUGGGAUUGCUCUUGAGCGAACUCGCUUAACUUCGAAGUUCCGAUGGAAUCCAAAGUCAGUGAGUUCCCAAAAGGCCUCGUGCUAUAUGGAGGUGAGCAUGUACAUAUAAGGCACAUCACCUCAUUUCUGUUGGUCGAUGUGGGAUGUUACACAUUUUAAUAUAUUUUUUUACCAAACCAAAGUUUUUUUAAAUUUAUUAAUUUUAUUUAGCAUUCUUCAAACUUGAAAAACUCAAUUAAUGUACCUAAAUGUUAGUACCGAAAUGUAUUAUAUUGAAUUAAUAUAUUCAAAUGUUAGUACCGAAAUGUAUGUACCAAAUAUAUGCACUGAAAUGUAUUAUAUUAAACUAAUAUACCUAAAUGUGUAUACCAAAAUGUAUGUACCGAAAUGUAUUAUAUUGAAUUAAUGUACCGAAAUGUAUUAUAUUGAAUUAAUGUACCAAAAUGUAUUAUAUUGAAUUAAUGUACCUAAAUGUUUAUAUCAAAAUGUAUAUAAUAAAAUGUGUGUACCUAAAUGUAUGGACUAAAAUGUAUUAUAAUGAAUUUAAUGUCCUAAAUGAAGAAGACAAAGUAUGUUGAAAUAUAUUGUAAAAAAAAUUAGUUUAUCGAAAUGAUUACAACAAAAAUAUAUCAUGAUGAAUGAAAUGAAAAUGAAAAUGAAAAUUAUAAUGAAAUAAAAUUAAUACAUUAAAAUUAGAAAGAAAAAGAGAAAUAUUUAAAACAUCAAAAAUAUUAUUAAUAAAUGAGGUGAUUAAUGUAUCAAGAGAUUAAAAUUAGAUUUUGAUCUUACUCAUGAUUUUAGUUUAAAAGUCAUAAUUGAUAAGGAUUAAAAUGAAAUUUCCUAUAAAAUUAAUAUGUUAAACUUACAUUUCUUUUCAUUUGUCUCCGUUUGAGUUUUAUUAAAUCAUACUCCUCCCCACCCCGCAUCUCCACUUGGAACAAUUGCAAACAUGUCAACUCCUGCAUGUUGCUGCAACUGUACGUAUUGCAUGGCUUAAAUAUUACAUAUAUAAUUAUUAAUUAAAACUUAAUUAAUUAUCACAAUAAGAACGAGCAUGUUAUAAACUUGAGGUAAGUUGUAGUUGAUUCCCUUAAUAUAUGAGGAUAUUUAGAAAUUAUUAGAUGCGACACCCAAACCACUACCGAAUUCAACGAGUUGGUUAAGGUUCUCAAAACCUUAGAAAAAUGAAGAAUUAAUCCUUUUUUUUUUUUAGUGGAUGGGAAUUUUUACAACAAAGUCUAGAAGGACAGAUUACAAAUAUUCUAUAGGUGAAAACGAGAAAUAAAACAAUCCCAAAAAAAGGUCUGUACAGACAGGAGCCCAAAAGUGACAUUUUUUAAGGUUAAUUUUAAUUUACUACCUCGAAGUUUCUUGAUUUUCAACAUUUGGUACAUCAAGUUUUUUUUAUCCCAAAGUACUACCUGAAGUCAUAAUUUUGGGACAGUUUCAUACAUAUGUUAGAUUGCUAUUAAAUCAGCCGUUAACUGGUGACAUGACGCCCACGUAGACAAUGACUAGGCGCCACGUGUCAAUAUAGAGCCUAUGUGGAUAAAACCCAUCAUUUUCUACCUCACCCUACUCCACGCGAUCCCAACCCUCCCUCCCUAAAACGUGCACGAUCUAAAACCCUCUUAGACCUGCGAAGAUGAACAAGAUUGUGGUGAGAUCGGUGGUUGGCAAUCGCUGCUAGGCUGUUGGACGACGUCGAGUUCCUGAAUUACCAGAGCAACAACGGUUUUAGUAAAUUUGUGGCUGGCUUUGAAGUUUCUAGGUUUUGUCUUCUCAAAACCAAAGUGUGAAGGUUUGAUCUUCAAUCGGAGCUUUGUUAGCAACAUGGAUGUUUUGUAUCAGAGAAAUUGGAGGUUUAGUUUGUUGAUUCAAGGAUAUGUGGUUACGGAUCUCGUCGGGGGGGGGGAGAGAGAUGAUGGAUUUUUUAAUUUUCAAAUAUCCACGUGGCGUCCAGUCAUUGUCAACGUGAGCGAUACAUCACCAGUUAACGGUUAAUUUACCAGCAAUCUUAUCGGAAAUAUUGAAAACCAAGAAACUUCAAGGUAGUAAACUAAGAUUAAUCAUUUUUUUUUAUAAUCAUCAUAUAUCACAGAUUAAUAUGUCUUGCUUAUAAAUAUAUUAUGUUUUUGUACCUUUUAGUUAGGUUUCAUCUCGCUUAUAAAGAUAUAACAUACAUUCAUUGCAUGCCUUUAAGGAAAGGGAUCUCCCUUUUUUUUAAUUGUGGGGCCCACAUCAUAUCGAACUUCAAUGAUCCGAACCUCCUAUUUUGCAGGUUGCACCUCUUAGGUCAUCCUUACAAAAUAUUAACCAAAUUAGAAAUAUUUGAGCCAUCUAAAUGAGUUUAAAAUUUUUGACGAACACUUUAUUCUAUAAAGAACAAUGAAAUUUCAUUAUGAUAAUUAAAUAGACAAAUGGUUUCGAAUUAAAUUGAAUUUUUGCAAGGGUGGUCUAUGAAUCGAGACUUAUGAUGAUUAAAUAUGCAAAUGGUUGUGAUAAUUAAAUAGAUGGUUCAAAUCGUUGAAGUUCGAUGUAGAGUGGGUCCCACAACUAAUCUCCAUUUUUUGAAAAAAAAAUAGGGAUUCCUUCUCUUAAAGGGCCUAUACAUUCAUAUAUUUGUUACUUGAGUUAGGGUCAUAUAUUCCGCAAAUAAAUUUUGUUAGUAUAUUACUUUUUUGCUAGAAUAUAUUAAGCAAAUUUAUUAGAAUUAGAAGAUUUUAAUUUAUCUUGAAUAUUUAUAAAAAAAAUGUAAAAUGAGUAUAAAAGAAAUAAAAGUGGAGAAAAGAUAAUUCUAGACUUAACCUAAUAACCAUGUUGAUUUUUUGGCCUCAGAUCUAAAUGCCCCUAAUCCUUUUCAACUUCUUAAUCUUUCUAUUUAUAUUGAAUGUUUAAAUCAGCUAUCACAUGGUUAGAAAGUUGUAAUUUGAGAUAACUAAAACUUGAAUUUGUAUUUUUUUUUUCAAUAAUUAUUAUUCAACUAGAUUGUUCUUGUUAAUGCACAAAAUCAGCGAGGACUUUAGUACAACAGAAAAUGUUAAGUUUGUGACCUUCGCUAGAUUGCUCCGAUCACUAGUGUGGAUAAGUAUGUAAAUGGAUAGGGACAGGUAAGCAAACACAAGAUGUACGUGGUUCACCCAGAUUGGCUACGUACACGGAGUAGAGGAGUUCUCAUUAAUUGUGAAGGGUUUACACAAGUACAUAUGUUCAAGCUCUCCUUUAGUGAGUACUAGUGAUGAUUUAGUACAAAUGACAUUAGGAAAUAUUGUGAGAGAAUGAUCUCUAUUUAUAGAAGAGAGUUUCUAGUUUCAUUCUGACAUUGACACGUGUCGCGUUGUGAUUGGCUUCUGAUGUUGACACGUGUCGCGCUAUGAUUGGCUUCUAAUGUCAACACGUGUCGCGCUGUGAUUGGCCUCUUGGUUGGAGGGAAACUCUUCUGGGUCCUUGACAGUAUAACGUUGACCGGUGCUCAGUAGUUUUGAGAUUGGUCAAGUAUGGUACAAACAGUGCUCCCCUAAGUUCCCGAGUGAGGGAUGCUCCUCGGUUGGGGACUUGCAAGAUCCAAGCAAUUAAGUAAUCACGAAACUUCUAAGUACCAAAGUGUGGUAUCAUUUUCACUUGCCUUAUGUGUCUCAUACGUAGAUGUGGCAUCUUCUCUGAAAGUACUUUUCAUCCAUCCAGGGGGUGGUAUCUUUAACUAAUGAAGAUGCACAAGGUAAUGUAUCAAUUUCACUUGAAGCUUACAUGUAGUUUCGGGCUUGGUCAAGUGCGAUACAAAACCCUAUAGUAGGAGUCCCCCAAGUCGUCGAGCUAGGAGAUUUGCCGAAAGAGGUAACAGACAAGGUAAGCAAUCAGACUUCCAAGCAAGCAACCUAGAUCGGAGGUUCGACUUCGGCUUCCGGUUGAUUGUUCUCCUUCUCCUUGUGUCGUAAAUAGCAACAAGGAUAAGGAGAAGCAAAUGGAGAAUAGAUAAUAUGAGAUACUUUUUCUUUUGAAGAAGUAACUUUCCACAUGCUUAUUCUUGAACUGGGCUGAAGGGUUUUCUGGUUUCCUCCAGAGUAUAAGGCCGACACAAGAAUUGAGGGUUAAACAAGUCCAUCAAAUCAAGAGUGCGUUCGACCUUGAUGAUAUGGGAUACUUUUUCUGUUGACAAAGUAAUAUAUGAAUCGGCUUGUGUUCUGUUGCGCUUGUCUCCACAUGCUUCCUUGUAUCAUUCUCACUUGCCUUAUCCGUUCCUUAGGCAGAUGUGGUGUCUUUUCUGACUGGAAGCUUGAUUCCAAGUGCUGACUGAUUGCUCUCUUUCUCUUUGUCUUGCAGGUAAGAACAAGGGCAAAGGAAAAGACAGGGAAAAAGCAUGAUAUGGGAUACUCUUGCUUUUGACCCUGAUGAUAUGAGAUACUCUUGCUCUGGUGUGACUGGUUUGCAUAGGUAUUAUUGGGGGGGAAGAAAGCUGAGUAUUUCGAGAAGUUUCGUUGGGAGUGCCAUCUCAGAUAUGAAGAAGGGUUGAGCAUUUUUGCAGGUCUGCCUGUCCGUAGAGGAUGAAGGUCGACAUAUAUAAGAGUCUCCCUAACAACAAGUAGUAAUGUUAUUCCUUUACCCUUCUUGGUCGUAGCAAUGUAGUGGGAGCUGCAAGCUUCACGUGUUUUAACUUUGUUAGAGCACUUUAAAAAAGUGGUAUGUGGUAUCUGGAAAGCUGAUGUUGCGUGUGAAGAUUGCAGACAAGCUUUAUCCAAGGAAAUCUGGCUCUCGAAGUUUGGAGAGCGAUGCCUCUUCAAUUUUUGAACAAGCAAUCAUGUCAGGGAUCUGGCUCUCGAGAUUCGAAGAGCGAUGCCUUUUCGAUUUUUAAGAAAGCAAUCCUGUUGGGAGUCUGGCUCUUGAGAUUCAGAGAGCCGUGCCUCUUCGAUUUUUGAGAAAGUAAUCCUGUUGGGAGUCUGGCUCUCGAGAUUCAGAAUGUGGUGCCUCUUCGAUUUUUGAGCAAGUAAUAAUGAUAUUCCUUUACCCUUCUUGGUCAUAGCAAUGUAGUUGGGAGCUGCAAGCUUCACAUGUUUUAACUUUGUCAGAGCGCUUUGAAAAAUUGGUCUGUGGUAUCUGGAAAGCUGAUGUUGCAUGUGAAGCUUGCAGACAAGUUUUAUCCAAGGAAAUUUGGCUCUCGAAGUUCAGAGAGCGAUGCCUCUUCGAUUUUCGAACAAGCAAUCCUGUCGGGGAUCUGGCUCUCGAGAUUCAGAGAAGGGUGCCUCUUCGAUAUUUUAGAAAGCAAUCCUAUUGGGAGUCUGACUUUUGAGAUUCGAAGAGCAGUGUCUCUUCAAUUUUUGAGAAAGUAAUCAUGUUGGGAGUCUGGCUCUCAAGAUUCGGAGAAUGGUUCCUCUUCGAUUUUUGAGCAAGCAAUCUUGUUGGGAGUGUUUUCUCGAAUGUGAGUAAAGGUUGGGCAUUUUUGCUAGUCUGUUUUGCCACGGAGCACGGAGGUUGACACACAUUGGGACUUUCUUGUUAUCAAGCAGUGGUGCUGUUCUUUUACCCUUAUGGGUAAUAGUAGGGUAGCUGCACCUUCAAAAUUUAUGUGUCUAAACUUUGUCAGAGAUCUUUGGUAAAGUUAUCUGUGGUACCUGAGGAGCUAAUGUUGCGUGUGGAAAGUGGUGUCUCUUCGAAAUCCGGAGAGUGGUGCCUCUUCGGAAUCCAGAGAGUGGUGCCUCUUCGAUUUUUGAACCAACGGCCCUAUUGCCCUUUCUUUUAUAAGGGCACCAAUUGUGUGCAAGGAGUACAUUCAAAGAGUUAUUGUUUGUAGGAAUUUUCCCUUUACUUCAGAGAUUUAUUGCACCUCAUUUCUCCUUCAUCAUUUCUGAGAAUGUCUGGCCUAUCUAACCGUCGUUUUGACUUGAACUUUGGUGAAGAGGCAGCCAUGCCUUCUCAAGACAACAUAUGGCGCCCAUCCUUCUUAUCCCCUACUGGUCCUCUUACCAUUGGGGAUUCUAUGAUGAAGAAUGAUAUGACCGCUGCGGUGGUGGCCAGGAACCUUCUCACUCCCAAAGAUAACAGACUACUUUCCAAACGGUCUGAUGAGAUGGCUGUUAAAGAUUCUCUGGCUCUUAGUGUUCAGUGUGUAGGUUCUGUGUCUAAUAUGGCCCAACGCCUAUUUGCUCGAACCCGCCAAAUUGAAUCAUUGGCGGCUGAAGUGAUAAGUCUCAAACAGGAGAUCAGAAGGCUCAAGCAUGAGAAUAAACAGUUGCACAGGUUCGCACAUGACUAUGCUACAAACAUGAAGAGGAAGCUCGACCAGCUGCAAGAAUCUGAUGGUCAGAUUUCACUUGAUCAUCAGAGGUUUGUGGGUUUGUUCCAAAGGCAUUUAUUGCCUUCGUAUUCUGGGGAUGGACCUCGUAAUGAAGCUCCAAAUGAUCAACCUUCGGUGCCUCCUCCUUCUAGGGUUCUGCCUAGUACUGAGACUCCGAAUAAUCACCCUCUGGUGCCUCCUCUUUCUGGGGCUCUGCCGACUGCUGAGACUUCUCCUGAGCAACCUUUGUGAAGGCUCCCUCUUGUUUGUUUAUUUUGAUUCAUGUAUAUGUACAUAUUUGUAACUUAUAGGACAUAUCAAUAAGCAAGCUUUGCUUCAUUUCAACGUAUUGUGUUAAAUACACUAAGGCAUUCUUCACUAAAUUCUUUGAAUUUUUCCUUUUGUUGAAGCUUGUAUGUUGAAGCUUUGUGAGUAAAGCAUGUAGGUUGAGGUAGUGCUCCCUUAAUUUCCCGAGUGAGGAAACUUCUCGUUUGGAGACUUGAAAAAUCCAAGUCAUUGAGUGGUCGUAAGACUUCCGAGUAUCAAGGUGCAGUAGAAUAUGGUAGGAGUCCCCCAAGUUUGACGAAUGAGGCAUUUCCUUUCUAAGUGGUAGCUCAAAACUCCUUCUUCAUAUAUAUUUGUUAUGAAAGUUGUUAGGCUCAAACAAGAAGAGGCCUAGGCAAAUAAUUUUUUUUUUUUUUCGAAAUUUUUUUUUCGAUUUUUUUUUUUCGAAUUUUUGAAUUUCCGAAGUUUUGAACUUUCGAAUUUCCGAAUUUUUUUUAAAUAUAUAUAUAUAUAUAUAUAUUAAAGUUUUGUAGGUGAAGCUUUGGUGUUGAAGCUUUAUAGGUGAAGCUUUGAGGUUGAAGCUUUGUUGGGCACUAUGAAUUGAUUUUGCUUCACACUAUCUUGAUCAAGAUAGUGUGAAGCUUUUGUGUUGAAGUUUUGUAGGUGAAGCUUUUGUGUUGAAGUUUUGUAGGUGAAGCUUUUGUGGGUCAAGCUUUUGUGGGUGAAGCUUUUGUGGUCAAGCUUUUGUAGUUGAAGCUUUUGUAGGUGAAGCUUUUGUGGGUCAAGCUUUUGUAGGUGAAGCUUUUGUAGGUGAAGCUUUUGUGGGUCAAGCUUUUAUGGGUCAAGCUUUUGUGGGUGAAGUUUUGUGGGUCAAGCUUUUGUGGGUGAAGCUUUUGUAGGUGAAGCUUUUGUGGGUGAAGCUUUUGUAGGUUAAGCUUUUGUGGGUCAAGCUUUUAUGGGUGAAGCUUGUGUAGGUCAAGCUUUUGUGGGUCAAGCUUUUGUAGGUCAGGCUUUUAUGGGUCAAGCUUUUGUGGGUGAAGCUCUUGUAGGUCAAGCUUUUAUGGGUCAAGCUUUUGUGUGUCAAGCUUUUAUGGGUCAAGCUUUUAUGGGUCAAGCUUUUGUGGAUCAAGCUUUUAUGGGUCAAGCUUUUGUAGGUAAAGCUCUUGUAGGUCAAACUUUUGUGGGUCAAGCUUUUGUGGGUCAAGCUUUGGAGUUGAAGCUUUAUAGGUGAAGCUUUGGAGUUGAAGCUUUUGUUGGGUACCACGAAUUGAUUUUGCUUAACACUAUCUUGAUCAAGAUAGUGUGAAGCUUUUGAGAAUUUGUAGUUGUCCUCCAUUGAUGAAGCUUUUAUUGGUGAAACUUUUGUGUUGAAGCUUUUGUGGCUGAACCUUUUGUGUUGAACCUUUUAUAGGUGAAGCUUUGGAGUUAAAGCUUUUUUUGGGUACCAUGAAUUGAUUUUGCUUCACACUAUCUUAAUCAAGAUAGUGUGAAGUUUUUGAGAAUUUGUAGUUGUCCUCCAUUGGUGAAGCUUUUGUGGUGAAGCUUUGUUGAAUUUCCUUAGAAAUUUGAAAAUGUGGGAGACACAACAUAUACAAAUUUUGCUUCCACACUGUUGAGCAAGAGAUUGUGAUGCAAGCCACACCUUGUAGUAGUCGAAGGUUUGGAUGAACCAUAUAAAUUGAAUUUGCUUCAUAUAGUCUUGAAUUUGCUUCGAAGGUUUGAGAAUUGUAGUUGCCCUCCAUUGAUGAGGCUUUUGUUAACACCAUAAAUUGGUUUUGCUUCACAUUGUCUUGAUCAAGAGUGUGUGAAGCUUUUGAGAAUUGUGGUUGAACUCAUUUGAUGAAGCUUUUGUUGGCACCAUAAAUUGGUUUUGCUUCACAUUGUCUUGAUCAAGAGUAUGUGAAGCUUUUGAGAAUUGUGGUUGCCCUCCAUUGAUAAAGCUCUUGUUGGCACCAUAAAUUGGUUUUGCUUCACACUGUCUUGAUCAAGAGUGUGUGAAGCUUUUGAGAAUUGUGGUUGCCCUCUAUUGAUGAAGCUCUUGUUGUUGGCACCAUAAAUUGGUUUUGCUUCACACUAUCUUGAUCAAGAGUGUGUGAAGCUUUUGAGAAUUGGGGUUGCCCUUCAUUGAUGAAGCUCUUGUUGGCACCAUAAAUUGGUUUUGCUUCACAUUGUCUUGAUCAAGAGUGUGUGAAGCUUUUGAGAAUUGUGGUUGCCCUCUAUUGAUGAAGCUCUUGUUGGCACCAUAAAUUGGUUUUGCUUCACACUAUCUUAAUCAAGAGUGUGUGAAGCUUUUGAGAAUUGUGGUUGCCUUACAUUGAUGAAGCUCUUGUUGGCACCAUAAAUUGGUUUUGCUUCACACUGUCUUGAUCAAGAGUGUGUGAAGCUUUUGAGAAUUGUGGUUGAACUCCUUUGAUGAAGCUCUUGUUGGCACCAUAAAUUGGUUUUGCUUCACACUGUCUUGAUCAAGAGUAUGUGAAGCUUUCUACGAGUUGUAGUGUUUGCAUUGUUACAAAGGGGAAAUCUUUGAAACAGAUGCAAGAUAGCUGAAUAGCUUGAUAUUUGUAUGCCAUGCACUGAAGUUGUUGUUGCCUUGCAAUAAGACUUUGUUUGUGACUAUAACUCUUGUUGGGCAUAAGUGAUCCCCUAGUUGAGUUGUUAAGCUUGAGGGUUUUUGAUUAUUUGUGAAUGCUAGGAGUUCACAUGUGCAAUUUGUACCACUAGCCUUCUGGUAGGUGGAAUGAAUGGUGAGUUGCUUUCAUCACUUGGUUGGUGGUACGAAGGUGAGUUCCUUCAUCACCUUUCAUCAUAUUUCAUCACCUGGUUAGUGGCAUGAGAAUGAGUUCCUUCUUCCCCUGGUUGGUGGCAUGAAUGUCAAGUUGCCAAAUGAUAUUAGAGUACGAGUUGUACAUUUCAUCACCUGGUUAGUGGCAUGACGAUGAGUUCCUUCUUUACCUGGUUGGUGGCAUGAGUGGCAAGUUGCCAAAUGAUAUUAGAGUACGGGUUUUACAUUUCAUCACCUGGUUGGUGGCAUGAAGGAGAGUACGGGUUGUACAUUUCAUCACCUAGUUUGUGGCAUGAAUGGCAAGUUGCCAAAUGAUAUUAGAGUACGGGUUGUACAUUUCAUCACCUGGUUGGUGGCAUGAAGAUGAGUUCCUUCUUCACCUGGUUGGUGGCAUGAGUGGCAAGUUGCCAAAUGAUAUUAGAGUACAGGUUGUACAUUUCAUCACCUGGUUGGUGGCAUGCAGGAAAGUACGGGUUAUACAUUUCAUCACCUGGUUGGUGGCAUGAAGAUGAGUUCCUUCUUCACCUGGUUGGUGGCAUGAGUGGCAAGUUGUCAAAUGAUAUUAGAGUACGGGUUGUACAUUUCAUCACCUGGUUGGUGAGAAUAAGGGCAAGGUGUCUAGGCACAUUGUAUCAAGUAUCGAAUGACACAAAGUAUGUUGAACCUUUUCAAAGCACAAUUGGCUUAUGUACGAAUGUGUUGGAAUGUAUGAUUGAAUCGAAUAUACUGUGAAGCUGUUCGUUUAUUUGUAUAGUCUUGUUGACAUAUACUUAGAAUUUGUUUCAUGUUGGAAGCAUUCAUGUUGAAGCUUUGAACCCAAGUGUUUCAUUGCUAGGAAUGUAAGAGGAUUAGGACCGAGUUGUCUAAAUCACCUUUUUAUUGAAUUCAUGCCAAAUAGUCUUCGUUACAUAGGAUGCUAAACGGCUGAAGCUUAACACUUGUACAAUGUGAGUUUACUUGUAAUACUACUCCAAGUGAUCAACAUUCCAUGGAUGGCCAAGGGUCUUGCCAUCGGAGCUUCUAAGCUUGUAGGAGCCAGGGCGACUAAUGCCAACAACUUCAAACGGUCCAUCCCAGUUUGGACUAAGUGUUCCUUCACUCGGGACUCUAUCGCAGAGUAAUCUUUUCUUCAAUACCCAGUCCCCCACUUUGAAAAAACGAGGUUUGACCCUGGAGUCAUAGUAGUUGGAGAUGCGCUGCUUGUAGGCGACAUUCCUCAAGUGAACCUGGUUUCUGUGUUCCUCGACUAGAUAUAAGUUGAGGGUAAGUUGUUUGUCAUUUUCUCUUUGCACGUAGUUCUGAACUCGGAACGUUGCUUGCUCAAGCUCAACUGGGACAACUGCCUCUGUACCAAAGGCAAGUGAGAAUGGGAUUUCUCCUAUUGAUGUUCGAUACGAAGUGUGGUAUGACCAAAGAACUUGGGGUACAAAUUCUGGCCAACAACCUUUAGCCUUGUCCAAGCUAGUUUUCAAAGUUCGCUUGAUUAUUUUGUUGAUGGCUUCAACUUGUCCAUUAGACUGGGGAUGAGCUAGGGAGGCAAAACAUAAGUUAAUGUUGAGCUUAGAGCAGAACGUCCUGAACUUAUUGUUGUCAAACUGUCGCCCGUUGUCAGUGACUAUCGCAUUGGGAAUGCCGAAUCUGCAAAGGAUGUUCUUCCAUACGAAGUCUUCUAUUUUUACCUCAGUAAUGGUUGCCAAGGGUUCUACUUCGGCCCACUUUAUGAAGUAGUCAACUGCAACAAUUGCAUAGCGAACCUUACCUUUCCCUGCAGGCAUUGGGCUGAUCAAAUCAAGUCCCUAUUGGGCCAAGGGAAAAGGGCUGAUCAUAGGAGUGAGCGGCUCGGGAGAAGAGUGAGGAAUAGUUGCGUAGCGUUGACACUUAUCACAUGAGCGGGAUAUUCUGAUGGCAUCUUGGUGGAGUGUUGGCCAGUAAUAUCCUUGGCGAAAAGUCUUGUGUGCUAGGGAUCCAGAUCCAGCAUGAUCUCCGCAGACUCCUUCGUGUAUUUCCCGAAUGACAGUUUCCACCUCUGUGGGCGUAAGGCAUCUUAGGUAUGGUAGGUUAAAACCCCGCUUGUAGAGUUGGUCAUUAAUGAUCAAGUAACAAGUAGCCUUGUAUCGAAUCUGCUUAGCUUGGACUUAGUCAUUUGGAAAGGUACCAUGAGCAAGGAAUCUAUAAAUCGGGGUAAUCCAACUAUCUCCUUGUUGUAAGUUGCACACUUCCGUAGCCAUGGUGCUUGGUGCUGCCAACAAUUUGACCUGAAUUUUUCUCCCAAUCUUGUCUUCCACCGCUAAGGCGAGGCGAGCCAAAGCAUCUGCAUGACUGUUUGCCGCUCGAGGAAUUUGGGUGAUCUGGUAGUGGAAGUACUUGAGCAAAAAUUAUGUUUGUGCCAGAUAUGCUGCCAUAGAGCUAUCCUUAGCGUCAAAGUUGUUGGUGACCUGGUUAACCACCAAUUGGGAGUCACUGAAGAUAUCAAUUCGUUUAACUCCCAAGGUGUUUGGCCAAACGUAAGCCUGCUAUGAGGGCUUCGUAUUCGGCCUCAUUGUUCGAUGUCUUGAAUUUGAAACGAAGAGCAUACUCCAUCGCCACUUUGUUAAGGGUCAUAAAGACUAGUCCUGCUCCAUAACCAUGUUGGUUGGACGAGCCAUCAACAUAUAGACUCCAUGCUGGGGCUGUUGGUUCUAUUUUCUGAGCUUCCGAGGGUAAUGAAACCACUUCUUUAGGCGUAGAAACAAUGUCAACAGGAUAUGUGAAGUCGGCGAUGAAGUCUGCCACUGCUUGGCCCUUCUCAGCUGGCUUUGGUUGGUAAGAGAUGUCAAACUCACCCAAUGCUAUUGCCCAUUUGAUCAUUCGCCCGGAAGUGUUAGGACUUUGGAGUAUCUGUCGAAGAAGAUGAUUGGUAAGCACGAUGAUGGAGUGUGCUUGGAAGUAAGGGCGAAGUUUUCGAGCAGACAUGACCAAUGCUAAAGCCAAUUUCUUGAUGUUAGAGUAUUGUGUCUCUGCAUUUUAUAAGGCCUUGCUAGCGUAGUACACAAGCCGUUUGACAUUACCAUCAUUUCGAAUGAGAACGGAACUUAAUACUGAAGCUGAUGCCGACAGAUAGAUAAUGAGAAUGUCACCAACCUCAGGUUUGGAGAGCAGAUAGGCUUUACUCAUGUAGUCUUUGAGGUUCUUGAAUGCCUCAGCACAUUCAACAGUCCAUGUAAUGUACUUCUUACUUCCCUUAAGUGCUUUGAAGAAAUGAGCACAUCUGUCUGUGGCCGUAGAGAUGAACCUAGUUAAGGCUACCACCUUGCCAGUAAGGCUCUGGAUGUCUUUUGAAGUUACCGGUUCCUUCAUGUCGAGGAUUGUUUUGAUCUUCUCGAGAUUAGCCUCAAUGCCUCGUUGGCUUAUCAUGAAACUUAUGAAUUUGCCAAACCCUACGCCGAAGGCACAUUUGUUGGGUUCAACCUCUUCAUAAUGGUGAAAGUUUCAGAUAGGUUGGUGAUGUGUUGGUCAGCAUGUUUGCUCUUGACUAGCAUAUCAUCAACGUAAACUUCCAUGCUCUUCCCAAUCUGUUCGACGAACAUUGAAUUGACUAGUCUCUGAUAAGUCGUUUCUGCAUUCUUUAGGCCGAAAUGCAUGACUUUAUAGCAAUAUAGUCAUCUGUCAGUAGUGAAGGCUGUGUGUUCUUGGUUCGGAGGGUUCAUAAGGAUUUGGUUGUAUCCUGAGUAAGAAUCUAUGAAGCUUAGAAGUUCACACCCUACCGUAGAGUCUAUAAGUCUGUCUAUGAGAGGAAGAGGAAAACUAUCCUUCAGGCAUCCUUUGUUUAGGUCGGUGUAAUCGACACACAUUCUCCACAAGACCUUUUGGAGCAGGAGACUUUCUUUGGUCGGAUUCUUCUUAACAAGGACAACAUUUGCUACCCACGUUGGAUAAUUGACUUCGCGGACGAAGCCUAUGCCUUUGAGUUUUUCAACUUCUGCCUUCAUUGCCUCGUACCGUUCGGUGUCAUAAGAUCUUCGCUUUUGUCUCACUGGCUUGGUCUUGGGGUCAAUACUUAAGCGAUGACAGAUGAUAUCGAGAAAGAUGCCUGGCAUGUCCUCGUAUGACCAAGCGAAGACCUCAGUGUUCUCUUAGAAAAAAGAGAUCAAUGUCAACCGAAUGGGUGGUGACAAGGUGGUGCCAAUCUUCACCAUGCGAUCCGGAUAAUCUUUUGAGAUAGAGACAUUCUCCAACUCCGUCAGCGGGUUGUGUUUGCUGGGUGAAAAAGUCAUCUCGAGGAUCGUCGAGUUGACUGCUGCCACCGUGAAGAUCCAAGUUGGCUUCGUCUAGGCUGGUCUUUAUGACUUGGUUAUGUAUAGAAAGGGUUUCCUUGGGCACAGGCAUGUGCUGUUGUUUGACUGAAGUGUUGUAACAUGAUCGUGCACUAAGUUGGUAUCCUCUAAUGUAACCAUUGCCAUAGGGGGUUGGAAAUUUCAUCAACAACAUAUGUGUGGAUACCAUGAACUUGAGAUCAUUGAUGCCUGUGCGUCCGAAGAUGACAUUGUAUGUCGUUGGGCAAUCAACCACCAGGAAGUUAGUGGUAAUGGUAGCUGUGUAAGGGCCUGUACCAAUGGUGAAAGGUAAGUGUAUACUCCCCAAAGGUUGCACGAUAUCACUGGAGAAGCUUAUCAGAGGGGAAAUCGAGCGGUCAAGCAAGUGUUCAGCUACAUUAAGUGCCCUGAAAGCUUCAGCAAACAUGAUAUUGACCGAAGCCCCCGUGUCUACCAGGAUUCGUCGUACUUCAAAGUUGGCUAUGUGAGCUUUCACGAUCAAUGGGUCAUUGUGAGGGUAGAUGAUACCUUUUUCUUCCUCAGGGUAGAAACAUAUUGGAUCCCAGUUAAGCUUUUGAUGCUUACCUCCCCUGAUGUCUUCCACGUGAAAUGGUGGCUAGACCUUAAAGCUCGUUCACUAUUUUUCAUGGCCCUGUUGGAAAAUUUAGAUAUGAGUGUGCCACCACUUAUGGAAUAUAUCACAUUUACCUAGCGUUGGUUACGGUUACCCCUUGAAGGGUGAAGGAGGAAUUGAUCAAUUUUUCCUUCACGUACCAAAGCUUCAAUAUGAUCACGAAGGGUGAUACACUUCUCACCGUCAUGGCCAUUAUGCUCGUGGUAGCAGCAAAACGUGCUUGUGUUCUUCGUGGGCUUGUAAUCCGGGUGCCUUAGCUUUGGCUUCGGUAUCAAGUGUGCUAUGCUGGGGUAAAUGGCCACGCAUGUGGCAUUCAAAGGUGUGUAUGACCCACUGUGUUGGCUGCCUGGGGUCGGGGAUUAUCAUAGCAAUACCCUUGGUUAUCGAGGUAGUGUCCCUUACUCAUUUUACUAAAAUGAGACUGGUGAGGAUGGAAAUCUUUCCUUUUACCCUGAGAUUGAUAUGUCUGUUGACUUUGCAAAGUAUUAAGUAAGGCAGAGGGAGGCACCGCUGCCGUUUGGAAGGUCGAGGUCUUUUCAUUUGGUUAGAUCUGGCUUCCACUCCCUACUUCCUGAUAAGGGGUGGUUGUGGGGGGUUUCCCUUGAUAUGUCAUUGCCUCGGCGGAGGCAUGGUUGUAAGCUUGUGCCAUCACCUUAGAGUAAGUCUUUCAAGUGUUGGCAUUGAUCAUGUACUUGAAGAAACAAUCACGUAGGCCUGCCGUGAAGGCCUUGAGGGCGGUCUUGUCAUCUGCCUCAGCGCAGCGAGAAUACUCAUGGCUGAAACGACCAGCAUACUCUCGUAGUGACUCGUCUGGCUUCUGGCGAAUAGUGUACAAGUCAUCUGCAGAAUGCAAGCAAUCGGUCUGGAAGAUGUGUUGAGAGACAAACAGUUUCCUCAGUUCCUUAAAUGAGUCUACUGUCUCAGGUGGAAGACGGCAAUACCAGUUUAGAGCUCCGCCAGAGAGGGUGGAGGGGAAGAGAAGACAUCGUUCUUCAUCAAUGUGCAUCCGAUAUGCCAUGGUGGACUCAAAAUUGAAGGAGAUCAAUUAGGUCAUCUCUUCCAGUAUAGAGUUGUAAACCAAGAUUUUGGUUUGUCUUCGCUUGAAGGGGGUGUCGAAGAUCCUCCUUGUGAGAGGGCCAGGCCUGGGUUGGUUCCAGUCAGGUAUCUCGGCCUGACGUUCGACCUUCAACUUGUUUACUUCCUCAAUGAGCCGUAGGACAAGGGGGUCCUGAGUAGAGUCAUAUACCACUGGGAUUUUCUUUCGUAAAUCUCCAUCGCCUCUUGGAAAUAGGAAAGUUUGAGCAAGGGCAUGUGCUGUACUAACUUCUAGGGCAAGUCUGUCGGAAUACCUCAGAAUCCUCCGUACCUUCAUGUUCCUCUGGGACCUGUCGUUCCUUCCCUAGAUUGGCAGCUGGCCUGGGUCGUGGGAGGGGACCGAGUCUUUCAGAAACCCUUGGGUCAUUGAUCUUCGAGCAUAUGUGGAGGGGAUUCUCUCAACGUUGCUUUAGGAAAUCUCAGCAGUCACGAUAAACGGCUUUUAAUCCUUCCAACCCUUCUGUAAGGAGGUGUCUUCCUCCACUUUUCCUGCUUCGGGUUAAAGCAGCUGGGUUGAGAGAAGUCUCAUGUUGAUCAAUGUUUUGAUGACUAGCUCGCUCCUCAUCAGGGAUACCCAUGUUAAAGGAAUAUGACCCUCUGUGUUGGGGGUACCCAGAUGAUGGUUGAUGUCCACAGGGGCAACAAGCUUUCGUGUUUGAGUACGCAUAGUUUCAUGGAGCGUCUCAAAGAGCUUCUCAUACUGCUCCUGGAGGACCUCAUUCUUCAUUGCUAUCUUGUUGUUUUAAGCUUCUAGCUCAUCGACUUUAGCUUAAAGAGCAACCCUAUUUCCUUCCUUCUUUCGUUACUUCGCACUAGGUGCAAGAAGGGUAUCAUUCUGUGUGCUAUGGCUUCCUUCGCUCCCCAUGUUGAAUAGGGAUGCCUGAUCAAAAGAGAGUGUACGAACGGUGGAAACCAGCUUGACAAAGCUGAAGAGAGUGGGCAUAAGUGUCGUUCCCAUAGACGGCGCCAAAUGUUGAUGCACAAAAUCAGCGAGGACUUUGGUACAACAUAAAAUGUUAAGUUUGUGACCUUCGCUAGAUUGCUCCAGUCACUAGUGUGGAUAAGUAUGUAAAUGGAUAGGGACAGGGAAGCAAACACAAGAUGUAUGUGGUUCACCCAGAUUGGUUACGUCCACGGAGUAGAGGAGUUCUCAUUAAUUGUGAAGGGUUUACACAAGUACAUAGGUUCAAGCUCUCCUUUAGUGAGUACUAGUGAAUGAUUUAGUACAAAUGACAUUAGGAAAUAUUGUGAGAGAAUGAUCUCUAUUUAUAGAAGAGAGUUUCUAUUUUCAUUCUGACAUUGACACGUGUCGUGUUGUGAUUGACUUCUGAUGUUGACACGUGUCGCGCUAUGAUUGGCUUUUGAUGUCGACACGUGUUGCGCUAUGAUUGGCCUCCUGGUUAGAGGGAAACUCUUUUGGGUCCUUGACGGUAUAACGUUGACCGGUGCUCAGUAGUUUCAGGAUUGGUCAAGUAUGGCACAAACAGUUCUAAUAACCGAUUCAUUAGUGUGAUGUUGAUUUUAGAAAGAACACAUGGGAACUAAUUGACAUUGUUGAAUUUAUUAUAUUCAUUAAUCAAGUUUUAUUGUUCUUUACUCUUUGAUCAUCAAGUUUUAUUGCUCUUCACUCUCAAUCUUAAACUCUUGACUGCAAACACUUAGUACAUUUGCAUCUAAAAAUGUGAGACGUGUAAUAUUUAAGUAAUGUUUGUAUAUCUUUCUUCUUUUAAUAUUAAUUUUUCAUGAUAUUUGAUGCUGAAAUAGACUUUUUAUGUAUUUAGCGAAUUCUUUUUUUAUACAUAUCAAUGUAAAAAGAAUUGGAGAUCAGAAAACUUUAAGGUCCCACUUCGAAGCUUGCCUAGGCCUCCCAAAUUCUUAGGGCCGGCCAAGUAUCACGACGACUACAAUUCCUCUAUUUUUAUUUUUUUAUACGAAAUGUGAAGGGGAAGGAAUUUUUGUUUUAGUUCCUCUAUUUUAUACGCACGUCUUUUUUACCUGUCACCUCUGAAUACAGUUCAAUAUUCAUGCACUCAAACUUGCCAAUAUUCACCGCACCAAAUAUUUUUAAUUAUCUAGCUAGAAUAUGUAGCCCACCGUGAUGGAAUGCUAUUUUCUAUCCAUAAAAAACAAACAUAUACAAAUCUAUAAGUGGGACUCUUUAGAAUUCUACCAAACGUUUGUUAAAUUCCCAUAGACUCGAUCAAACUUCCAUAUAACACCAAAAGUACAACUUGUUUUAUUAGUUGACUAUUUUAAAUUUGAAGACAAAUUCCACCAAAUUAAGAGUAGGUAGAGUUUUUUUUUUUUGGUCAAUAUAGUAGGUAGAGUUAUGAUGCAUGGUUCAUAAAAUUCUUCAAUGUUUUCUUUGUAUGCAUCCAUGUAGGGUAGUGCCACGAAUACCAUAUACUUAAAUUAUAUUCUGUAAAAUGUAUGAUAUGGUUAUUAAUGAAUAAAUUAUUACUUAAGUGUUGAUUAACGUACUUAAUUUUUUUUUAUGACACACAUGAUUUACAAAUGUGGUCUAAAAUUUUGACCUACCGAGCAUUACUCAUCUAUUUAUCAACAACUAGACAACAUAUAUUUUCAAUCAAAAGUUUUGACACUAAAUUUCCAACAUAAAAAAUAAUCAUUUUUUUUCUGACAGUACUACAAUAUUUCAUUCUGGGGUUGGUUAACUCUUAAUUACCUUCGCGUUAAUGCUUUGUUUACUUCAUAUCAAUAAAAUUUUGGUCUGAGUCACAACACAAAAUAUAAACAGGUCCCAACACAAAACUUAUGUGUAUAUAACUACUGAAAUUAAUUAGCUACUAAAAAUCCCUUCGAACAACACACAAAAAUAUCAUGUAGAAAUAGACUUUUUAUGUAUUUAGCGAAUUCUUUUUUAUACAUAUCAAUGUAAAAAGAAUUGGAGGUCAGAAAACUUUAGGGUCUCACUUCGAAAGCUUGUCUAGGGGCCGGCCAAGUAUCACAACGACUACAACGUUUUACGACUACAAUUCAACAUCAAAUAAAAUGGACGGAAUGUGAAAGGGAAGAGACCAAAAAACAGACUAUGAGAGGCAAGAGACCAAGACUGAUUUCAAGAAGAUUGCUGCCGACUUCAAAGCCGAUGGCAGAAGCCGGCGCAAGAGAGUUUUCUAUUCUCAAUUUCCAACUAGUCUAUUUCAAGACUUCUUACAUGGAAACAAAUUUUAUUUUUAUCAAGUGAGUUUACUUUGUGCCACUGAGAUUUGAAUUUUUGUUUUAGUUCCUCUAUUUUAUACGCACGUCUUUUUUACAUGUCACCAUAACCCUGUUUGAAUACAGUUCAAUAUUCAUGCACUCAAACUUGCCCAUAUUCACCGCACCAAAUAUUUUUAAUUAUCUAGCUAGAAUAUGUAGCCCACCGUGAUGCAAUGCGAUUUUCUUUCAAAAAAAAAAAACAAACAUAUAUAAAUCUAUGAGUGGGACUCCUUAGAAUUCUACCAAACGUUUGUUAAAUUCCCAUGGACUCGAUCAAACUUCCACCUAAGUCUACAAGUGCAAUUCUUAUAGAAGUCUGCAAAACUCUAUCAGACCACUUGGAUACCCGAAUCGCGAUGUGUAGAUCGACAUCUGAAAGGUGACGAAGCCAUAAAGUGUAGUGAGGUGGAAAAUGCGAAGAAAUUAAAACCUAAAAGUGAAUAAUUUAGAGUGCGCAUAUGAGCGAGAUUAAACCCAUAUCACACAAGUGAUGUCAGAACAUAGAUAAAUUGUAGUAAAAGAAGAGUAAGAACAUUUAUACCGAAAGGAGAAGUCUCCUACAUAACAUCGUUUACCAACAAUCCUUAUUGUCAUGAAACCUCUACCACUAAAAUCCAGGGAAGGGUGAAAAACAGGGAUGAGUGGCCCUGAAAAUAAAGUUUGAAAAACCUUUUCGAAAAGUCUAACCCCUUGUUGUAAAACAAGUAUAUAGUUUCUCAAAAAUAUUAUAAUAAUAGUAUGUAGUAGGUACCCUGCUGUAGAAGUGAGUCUAAGAUGUAGGGUACAAUAAGAAGGAAUCUCAACAUUAAAUCUCAAAAAAGUAUUAUAAGAAAUCAAUGCUCAUUAAUUAAUUUAUGUAGGCACACAAGUCCACUGCAGAGGUAUUCAAACAAUGGAACAGGCUGAGUGUAGGUUUUACAUUCUAGUACUUUAUCACAUGAGUUACACUAGUCGCAUCACAUACGAGUCCAAAACAUCACACAAAAUGACAGGAUGGCACCUAACUCUGGAUCCAAAACGAAUGUAAAUGGUGCAUGUGAACUACAUGUGAAGCUAGUCCUUGGCCCAAGACAGUACAAAUAACUAAGAGACACUGUGCAAACAUAUAAUGAGUAGGUAAAAUGUAAGGAUGUCAUGCCACAAGUUUAUGCUCACAAAUAAUAUUAAAAACAUAAAGUGUAUGGAAAGUAUAUUUGUAAACCUAAACAUGGCAUUUGUAAAGCUAAACAUGGCAUGUCACAUCAUAGUAUAAAAAAGCAGUUGUUGGGAAAAAUCACAUAUAAAUAUUAGGCCUGGCAAACGGGUCAUGUCUAUCGUGUUCGUGUCGUUUUUUUAUAACACCUGUUAUCUUAACGGGUCAUGUCGUGUCACACCCGUUAUCUUAACGGGUCCUUAACAGGUCAGGUCACUUUACUCGUUGACCCGUUAAGAAAAAUAUUAUUUUUUCUUAAAUUCGCACAUACCACACAUUGCCACAUAAAUAUUACUUCAAAACAUUAAAACACAUUUGUCGUUUAAGUAAUACAUCUACACUCGAAAAUAAAAGCCUAAUAAACAAACAUUCAUACACUACUAGUCUAUUACAAAAUAUUAAAUAUGCAAGGAUAUGCAAAAUGAAAGAGUUUUUGUUUUCAAGGUUGUGAAACCUUUCUCAAAAGUUUAAACCUUGCCAAUGGAACUCAAAUGUUGCAUGUUAUUCCUUUUACAAAAUCCUCAAUUUUCAUUGCUCAUCAUGACAUAAGAUUUUGUGGUAUCCACUAGUGUAAAUAUUUUAAAUUGAACAUGAAAUUCAUUCAUUGUAUCCAUAUAAGGUCAAUGAGUGUAGCUGUAAAAAAUCAUCAAAAUCGGAGUUAAAAUAACCGCUAAAUCAUGAUUUUUCGUUGAUAACUGUUGAAAAGUUGUCCCGUUACUUGAUCUUUGAAUGUUUGUUUUUUGCAAUUUUUGGCGUAUGCGAUCUCAAAGUAUAUACAAACAUGUUGGAUGGUUCGAACGUUGAAACUAGUGUUUCAUAGAAUGCGUAUCUCAUCAAAACAAUAGAUUCACUAACACUUAAGAGUUUAUUCAUACUUUCAUUAAGUAUAACAUAAGAUUUUAUGGUAUCCACUAGUGUAUAUAUUUUAAAUUGAAGAUCGAGUUCAUUCAUUGUAUUUGUAUAGGGUCAAGGAGUGUAGAUGUAAAAAAUCAUCAAAAUCGAAGUUAAAAUAACCGUUAAAUCGUGAUUUUUCGUUGACAACCGUCGAAAAAUUUUGUCCCAUUACUUGAUCUCUGAAUGUUUGUUUUUUGUGAUUUUUGGCAUAUGCGAUAUUAAGCAUAUACAAACAAGUUUGACGGUUGGGUCGUUGAAAUUAGUUUCGUAGAAUGUGUAUACCAUCAAAACAAUAGAUUCAUUAACACUUAGAGUUUAUUUAUACUUUCAUUAAGUUUAACAUAAAAUUUUGUGGUAUCCACUAGUGUAAAUAUUUUAAAUGGGACAUCAAAUUCAUUCAUUGUAUUCAUUCAUAUAGGGUCAACGAGUGUAACUGUAAAAAAAUCAUCAAAUUCGGAGUUAAAAUAACCGUUAAAUCGUGAUUUUUUGUUGAUAACCGUCGAAAAGUUUUGUUCCGUUACUUGAUCUCUGAAUGUUUGUUUUUUGCAAUUUUUGGCGUAUGCGAUCUCAAAGUAUAUACAAACAUGUUUGACGGUUGGAUCGUUGAAACUAGUUUCAUAGAAUUCGUAUCCCAUCAAAACAAUAGAUUCACUAACACUUAAGAGUUUAUUCAUACUUUCAUUAAGUAUAAUAUAAGAUUUUGUGGUACCAUUUCAUUAAGUAUAAUAUAAGAUUUUGUGGUAUCCACUAGUGUAAAUAUUUUAAAUUAAAGAUCGAGUUUAUUCAUUGUAUUCGUAUAGGGUCAAAGAGUGUAGCUGUAAAAAAUCAUCAAAAUCGGAGUUAAAAUAACUGUUAAAUCGUGAUUUUUUGUUGAUAACUGUCGAAAAGUUUUGUCCCAUUACUUGAUUUUCGAAUGUUUGUUUUUUUCGAUUUUUGGCGUAUGCGAUCUUGAAGCAUAUACAAACAUGUUUGAUGGUUGGAUCAUUGAAACUAGUUUGGUAAAAUGUGUAUCCCAUCAAAACAAUAGAUUCACUAUAUUCAUACUUUCAUUAAGUAUAAUAUAAGAUUUUGUAGUAUCCACUAGUGUAAAUAUUUUAAAUUGAUGAUCGAAUUCAUUCAUUAUAUUUAUAUAGGGUCAAGGAGUGUAACUAUAAAAAAUCAUCAAAAUCGGAGUUAAAAUAACCGUUAAAUUGUGAUUUUUCGUUGAUAACCAUUGAAAAGUCUUGUCCCAUUACUUGAUCUCUGAAUGUUUUUUUUUUUUGCGAUUUUUGCUGAUGCGAUCUCGAAGUAUAUACAAACAAGUUUGACGGUUGGAUUGUUGAAAUUAGUUUUAUAGAAUUCACAUCCCAUCAAGUUCAAUGGUAUAUAUAUAUUUAUUAAGUAGAUUUAAAUUUAUUUAUUUUGUACAUAUAACAGUUAAGAAAUUGAAUGGUAUGUAUAUUUAAGCCGAUCCAAUGGUCACCAAUUUUUAAUAUUUAAUUUAAUAUAUAUAUAAUAAUUAUAGUUUUAGGGGUAUAAAAUUGUUAAAUUAAUAUAUAUAAUUAUUGUACUAUUUUUUUAGGGUUGUAAAAUUAUUAAAUUAAUAUUUUGCUUAUCGUGUAUCUUGUUACCCACGUGUAUACCCGAACCAACCCGUUAUCUUAGCAGGUGCUUAUCGGGUCCCAAUAAUGGCCCGAUUCGUUAUCGUGUCGAUCCGAACACCUGUUAAUUUCGUGUCGUGUCGUGUCAGGAAUUGCCAGGCCUAAUACAUAUAUAUACGUAAAAACGAAAAGAUCCACUCACAGUUACUUGUGAUGUCACAUCCUUUUGAGCUAAGAAAGUCGGAGUCCCUGAUAGUAAUCGCACCUAAGCAUAAUAUUGGGACCCAUUAGUAAAACUCAACUUAAACAAUCAAACUUGAGAAAGCGGAGUGUGGAUUUGGAAUCAGAGCGUCGAAAUAUGCUAAGAAGGGUCCCGAGCGAAUUUUUGUAAGAAGUCAACAAAAAAGUCAACGGUUGACCCUAAAAGUCAACCGAGAUACUCCCGUUGUCAACUAUGUUUAAACUUUAUAAUUUUCCAAAAUGGACCCGAGAUGUCGAAAUUAGCCUAGGAGGAAUAUUCCAUGAUCCAUUUUGGAAUGAGGCCAGGUCGCAUCCUCUACGCUUUGAGGAUGGGUAUAUGAUCGUUUGAAUUCUUAAAACCAUACAAACUCUCAUGAAUAGUAUUUUUAAGAGAGUUCAAAAUAAACAAAAUUCAUAAUCAUUAAUGUAUAAGUCUGAAAGAUGUGAAAGCAUAAUAAACGUUCAUAAUUGCAUCUUCAAAGCUUAGACGAUGGUUACAUGGUCGUUUAGAUUCUUAAAACCCUCCAAAUCUCAUGAACAAUGUUUUUUAUUUGAGUGCAAAAUUAAUAAUAAUUAUUGUAGAAGUGUGAAAAAUGUAAUCACUCGUAAUGAAAAGCUUCACAACCUUCAUGAAGGGGUCAACUCCGAAAUUUAGUAUGUAUAUACUAAUUUAGUAUUAUGUUUUACAUUUUUUGGGUCAAAUUAUAUUUUUCAUUUUCAUUUUUAUUGAUUUAAAAUAUAUUUUUCUUAAAGGGUAACAGGUCGGGUCAUAUUACCUGAUAAUAUUAACGGAUUGAUUUCGGAUCGGGUCAUAUUACCCGUUUACUUUAAUAGGUAUUACACAACACGACCCAUUAAGCUAUCGGGUAUGACACGAAAACGACAUGAACACGAGAAACACGACACAAAUGCCAGGUCUACUCAAGUACUCCAUUUUUUGGUAUUCGUUCUCCAAAAAAAAAAAAAAAAUACACAUACACGCACACACAUAUUUGUAUUGAUGAGUAUUUGGAAGCUUGGAUUAUGUUUUCAUUUGUCACGUUUUAAGGGUGUGACUAAAUUAUUUUAGAAUAGACCAUCCAUGCAUUUUUCUUUUGUGGAUAAUAGCUGUUCAUCCAUAUUUAGCAUUCGUAAUUAGCAAUGUGCAAAAUGAGCUUAAUUGAGAGUUAGAUUUAAGCUUAUGACUCUAACUUUUGUGCUUUACAUGUGGUUAGGUUUUCCUAAUUGAAACCCUAAAAUCAAGAUGAAAGGUUGAACAAACAGCUAUCCAUUUUGGUUAAUUCCUCAUGGUGGUGACCAUAUCAAUUUGGUGGGUGUCCAAGAUCCUUUGUCACAUGAACACCAAAGACCCUUCCUAAAUUCAAUUAAAGCACACAAUACAUGGCCGCCUAACAACCUAAUGGCUGCGAUCGACUCCUUUUACGUGCACGUCCAUGAUUUUCCCAAAAUGUAAGGGACGUUUGGUUCUCAAACGAAAAAAUGUGAUUAGAUCAUAACCCAACUCACCAUGUGGGUUGGGUUAUGAAGAGGAGUCAAGAAGAAUUCAUGGCCUUAGCAACUGGUGUUGGAUUUAGUGGCAUCAUAUAUGAAUGUUUCACAACUAAUCUUCAGUAGUUAUAUACACACGUAAGUUUUGUCUUGCGAUUCAGACCAAAACUAUAUAACAUAAGUUUUGUCUUGCUACUCAAACCAAAACUCUAUUGACAUGAAGUAAACAAAUCACUUAAAUAUAAAAUGCCUUUUUAUCAAGGUUCUGAAAAACGCUAGGCGCUAGUCGGGCAGGCGGCUAGGCGGCCUAGGCGGAUUUAAGUAUAUGUGUAAAAUUUAAGACUUUUUAUGUUGAUUUUGUAACAUUUAGUCACCCUAUUUAUUUUAAUCAUUUUUGGACCUUUGUUUUUCAUUAAAAAUGAAUUGGGCCUUGUUUUCUUAUUAAUAAAAAAAACAGUUUAUUCCCUAGUUUUUUAAGACACUCAUUGCUGGACAUUCAGCCCACUUUGGGCUCCCAAACUCGUGGCCCCUUCACCUUCCUCUCCCUUUAAAAAGGAAAAAAAAAACCCUAGCUCUAAUUAUCCAAGCUCAGCUGUCGUCCCGCUCCAUCACCUUUCUCUGCCAUUGCAGAAACCUCUCUCUCUCUCUCUCCCCAGCCAAGCCAUCCCUCUUCUUUACCUUGCAAUUGUAGAUCUAUCUCAUCCCACAUCUUUACUCUUUAAUUGCAUAUCCAUCCCAACAACAGCCAAAUUGUCUCACUUCGUUUCUCUGCAAUUGCAAAUCGAAACUGUCGGGAUGGUCACCCAGUCGUCCAACCACAGUACCACAGCAAAAGAACAACGUUGUAAUCGACUUACCAUCGAAGCCGCCUAGGCGGUCGCCGAGGCCGCCUAGCCCGCCCAGCGCCCGUCUAGGCGCCGCCUAAUACCCUUUCUGAUUUCUUCAACGAUUUUGGUUAAAUCGCGGCGACGAACCACCGGCCAGCGACUAGGCGCCGCCUAGGCCGCGUUUUCGAACACUGCUUUUUAUACACACACUUUCAGAACCAGCCUAGAUGGUGAGAGUUAAGUAGCCGAAAGCAUCACUAGCUUGUACUCUAACCCGAGCAGCAUAGGACACGUGGAAUCCCGUGUGAAUCAGCAAAGGACCACCUUGUAAGGCUAAAUACUCUUGGGUGACCUAGCGGAGCCAAGAUUUCUUGUAAGGAGAGGCUUUUCUUCACAAAUGUAGUUAAAAAAAUGGCGGAUAACAAUUACAAAGAAAAUAACCAAAACAUCAUAAUUACAGAUUCCUAGAUAAUGAUGUGUUUGAAAGUACUUUAAAAAUGACUGAAGACGCUUUUAAUGAAAGUGCUUUUAGAAUCUGAACAAAAAAAAAUGCUUUUAGAAUCAAUCCUUAGUUAAAUGCAAGUGAAUCUUAAAAAUGAACUUAAGUACUUCUUGCAAGAAGUACAUAAUUAGUGAUUCUUCCAAAAUUCACUUACACUAUGUUUGGAUGAAGAAAUUUAAGAUUACUAAGGAAUUUUAAAAUGACAGAAAUUGAAAUCAUGAGAUUUUAUUUUCUAGAAUUUGUGAAUUUUCUUGUUUGGUUAACCUAAAAGAACAAUGAAAUUUGUUAAUUUAAGCUCUCAAUCAUAGAAAUUGGGAAAUGACACAUAUUUACAUGGAAUUUAAACUUGGGAAUUGGAGGCCCCAAAUUCCAAGGUUUUUUUUUCAUGCGGAAAUUCUAAAUUUCUAUGUUUAUAAUCCAAACAAUGGAAUUGGUGCAAGUCAAUUUAUAAAUUCUGACUUUUAUCCAAAUUCCAAUUUUAUUUCCUUCAUCCAAACAUAGUGUUACAGUGCUUUUGGAACACAAAAAAAUCCCCAAAAAACGCUUUCGGUUAUUUUAGAAGUACAUCCAAACAUGUACAAUAUUAAUCGUUGCAUGAUAAUCUUGUCAUUUAUACUCCUAAUUUUAAUAGGGAGAAUCAACAAAAAAAUUCUAAACACUAACACAUAAAUAAGAGGUAAGAUAGAAGAUAAACAAUAAAAAGUUGUAUACAACAAGAUAGAUUUUACAAAUCUUAUAGUUGUCGAAUUAAUUUAAAUUUUGGUAUUUGACUAUAUAUAUGAAUUUGAAUUUUGGUAUUUGACUAUAUAUAUGAAUUUCAAAAAUGAGAAGAAGAAUAGCUUUCUAGACUUGGAGUCCUACUUCUGGGUUGCACAGUGAAAGAGAACGAUCAAAUUAGAUAUUUUUUUUUUAAUUUAUAAGUGAAGGUUUAAUGUAGAUUUUUUUUUUUAAAUUCAUAAGUGAAGGUUUAAUGUUAAGGUUGUUUGUAGUCAUUCAGUACUACGGUCUGGUGGUAUUCCUCUUUACUUGUAAGUGAGAGGUCUUAGGUUCGAAUCUCGUGGAUGGCGUAUUUAAUACCAAGCUAGGUUGCCAUUUUAUGGCUUAACCGAACUCCCCUCUCCCCUUAGUGUAAAAUAUAUUCGUUGUACCAAAAAAAAAAACAAAAGUUAAGGUUGUUUAUCAAUUGUCAAAGAUUAUUAAUUUGAUGUCAUAAAUAUAAUAAUAGUGGUGGGAUGUAACCAGACUUGGAAGUUGGCAAUUGGAAUUAGGAAAGAAUAUGUUUAAAUUUGUUGCAUUGUUGACAAAUAAGAGCAUGACUGUAAAUGAAUGAAGCAUGAUAAUUGGAGGAGGGUUGAAAAGAAAAAGUUAGGAUAGGUGCCCUAGGCCAAUCCUUGUCUCUUAGUCCCUCCGUCAUAAUGUAGUACCGUGAAGGGUAGAGCAACAACAACAACAAAGCUUUUUCCCACUAAGUGGGGUCAGAUAUAUGAAAUUUUUCCUUGAGCUUCAGUGGCAUACGGCGGUCACACAACACGCCGGAUGCACUCUUCCACUUCAUCCAUCCAGGUUGUAUUCUAUGGUUGAGGUCUCCAUCUAAUUCUCUGUUCUUUUGCAAGAUAGAUCCUAGGUAGCAAAAGCGGUCGCUCUUUGGUACUUCCUGAUCUCCGAUCCUCACCCCUAACUCAUUUUGGCCUCCAUUUGCACUGAACUUGCACUCCAUAUAUUCUGUCUUUGAUCGGCUUAGGCAAAGACCUUUAGAUUCCAACACUUCUCUCCAAAGGUUAAGCUUCGCAUUUACCCCUUCCUGAGUUUCAUCUAUCAACACUAUAUCGUCUACAAAAAGUAUACACCAAGGAAUAUCAUCUUGAAUACGUCCUGUUAACUCAUCCAUUACCAAUGCAAAAAGGUAAGGACUUAAGGAUGAGCCUUGAUGUAACCCUACAGUUAUGGGGAAGCUUUCGGUUUAUCCUUCAUGAGUUCUUACUGCAGUCUUUGCUCCAUCAUACAUACCCUUUAUAGGUUAGAUAUAUGUUACUCGUACUCCUUUCUUCUCUAAAAUCCUCCAAAGAAUGUCUCUUGGGACCCUAUCAUACGCUUUUUCCAAAUCUAUAAAGACCAUGUGUAAAUCCUUUUUCUUAUCUCUAUAUCUUUCCAUCAAUCUUCGUAAGAGAUAGAUCGCCUCCAUGGUUGAGCCCCCUGGCAUGAACCUGAAUUGGUUGUCUGAAACCUGUGUCUCUUGCCUCAAUCUAUGCUCAAUAACUCUCUCCCAGAGUUUCAUUGUAUGACUCAUUAGCUUAAUACCCCUAUAGUUCAUGCAAUUUUGUAUGUCACCUUAUUCUUGUAGAUAGGCACCAAAGUGCUCUUUCACCACUCAUUUGGCAUCUUCUUUGUUUUCAAAAUCCUAUUGAAAUGGUAUGUGAGCCAUGCUAUACCCGUCUCUCCCAAGACUUUCCACACUUCAAUCGGUAUAUCAUCUAAGCCCACUGCUUUUCUAUACUUCAUCUUUUUCAAAGCUAUAACUACUUCUUCCUUCCUGAUUCGGCGGUAAAAUGAGUAGUUUCUACACUCUUCUGAGUUACUCAACUCCCCCAAAGAAGUACUCAUUUCAUGUCCUUCAUUGAAAAGAUUAUGAAAAUAACCUCUCAAUCUGUCUUUGACUGCGUUCUCUGUAGCAAGAACAUUUCCAUCCUUAUCCUUGAUAACCUUACUUGGUUUAGGUCCUUCUUUGGUAUAUAGCCGUUUAUACAUAUCGUCAUAAGCCGCUUGCUUAGCUUCACUCACAGCUUUCUUCACCUCCUGCUUCACUAUUAUAUACCUUUCACCAUUUUCAUCAGUCAUAUCCUUGUAUAAGGCUUUACAACAUUCCUUCUUACCCUUCACCUUUGUUUGUACCUCCUCAUUCCACCACCAAGAUUCUUUUUGGUGUGGAGCAAAGUCUUAGACUCUCCUAAUACCUCUUUUGCUACUUUUCGGAUACAACUAGCCAUGGUAUCUCUAUCCCACACGCAUUGGGUGAUUACUUUCUCUUUGAAAAUGACUUGUUUUUCUUGUUUUAGAUUCCGCCAUCUAGUCAUUAGGCACUCCCAGGUCUUGUUCUUUUUUCUCUCUCUUUUGACAUGUACAUCCAUCACCAACAAGCGAUGUUGAUUAGUCAAGCUCUCUCCCGGUAUAACUUUGCAAUCCUUACAAGUUAUAUGAUCCCCUUUCCUUAUUAGAAGAAAAUCUGUUGAUGCACAAAACCGGAAGGGUCUUGGAACAACGUAAAUCCGACCGUGAAUCUGCAAGAAAGUAAAGAACACAAGAUGUACCGUGGUUCACCCCAAUGUUUGUACUACGUCCACACUGAUGUUGAUAUUGUUUCACUCUGAAUGGUGAAUAUACAAGAAGGCUAGAGGCAGUGUGCUCUCUGCCUAUUUUCUCUCUAGCCUAUUUUAUGUGGCCUAAGCCUUGCCCUCAAUCUUGGCCUCUCUAAUGAGAAGAGUGAUGAGUCCUUUUAUAGAAUAAGGGCUCCUCACUUAUUACAUAUUUGCCUCUUCAUUUAUUACAUAAUUACAUUUUAGCCCCCUGAGUAUUUAUACGAGAUCUAAAUACGGAGGCCCUAAGUAUGGUAUAAACAGUAGUCCCCAAGUCUUCAGUCAAGAGAGUCUUUUGGCUGGAGACUUGAAAUUCAGUCCAUGUGUGGGCCGAAGUAACUAGAUGUCGUCUAGAACUGAUACUCGAUAUGAGGCGAUGCUCAAUGUGAAAUGAUGCUCAACUAGAAGUAGCACAUGUUGCUAGGCUGCUUGGCUUAUGGUUUAUGUUGCCUUGGUUGGCUCGACUUGUGGCGUUUAAAGGUGAGGGAGUCCCUUUUAUAGAAUAAGGGCUCGCUCAUCAAUACAUAAAUGAUGGGCUAGAGUUGAUGCUUGCGGCGAAAUGGUUACUCAGUAGGCAGCGAUGCUCUCUAAUGAUGGUGAGGGAGUCCCUUUUAUAGAAUAAAGGCUUGCUCCUCAAUACAUAAGUGAUGGGCUAGAGUUGAUGCUCGCGGUGAGGCGGUUGCUCAGUAAGUGGCGAUGCUCUCUAAUGAUGGUGAGGGAGUCUCUUUUAUAGAAUAAGGGCUCGCUCCUCAAUACAUAAGUGAUGGGUUAAGAGUCUCUCUUUAAUGAAGGUGAGGGAGUCCCUUUUAUAAAAUAAGGGUUCGCUCCUCAAUACAUGAAUAAUAGGUGCUUUCUAAUGAAAGUGAAUGAGUCUUUUUUAUAGAAUAAGGGUUCGCUCAUCAGUACAUAAAUAAUAGGCUAAGUCCCCCAAGUAUUUUUCAUGAGGCCCAGUUAUGGAAGCCCAAUAUAUGGUACAUAGUGCAAUCCCCAAGUCUUCAGUCAAUAGAGACUGUUGGCUGAAGACUUCAAAUUCAAUCCAUGUACGGGUUGAAGCGACGGUUGUUCAGAGGCGAUCUUUGUAUACCAUGCACUGAAGCUUUGUAGGUGAAGCUUUGAAGCUGGACCUCUGUAAAUGAAGCUUUUGAAACUAGAGCUCUCGAAGCUGGAGCUCUGUAAAUGAAGCUUUCGAAACUGAUUGACAUGAGUGAUGCUCAUGAAUGUUUAUGUUGAUUGACAUGAGUGAUGCUCAUAGAUGUUGACAUGAGUGAUGCUCAUGAAUGUUGACAUGACUGAUGAUCAUGAAUGUUUAUGUAUGAUUGACAUGAAUGAUGCUUAUGAAUUGUUUAUGUAUGAUUGAGUGAUGCUCAUGUAUAAUUUUGGAGUACUGGACGUACUUUUGAUCACCUGGUUGGUGAUAAUACUGGACGUACUUUUGAUCACCUAGUUGGUGAUAAUAGCGGCAGGCUACCGAAUAAUUUUGGAGUACUGGACGUACUUUUGAUCACCUAGUUGGUGAUAAUAGCGGCAGGGUGCCGAAUAAUUUUGGAGUACUGGACAUACUUUUGAUCACCUAGUGGGUGAUAAUAGCGACAGGCUGCCGAAUAAAUUUGGAGUACUGGACUUACUUUUGAUCACCUGGUUGGUGAUAAUAGCAGCAGGGUGCCGAAUAAUUUUGGAGUACUGGACGUACUUUUGAUCACCUACUAGGUGAUAAUAGCAGCAGGCUGCCGAAUAAUUUUGGAGUACUGGACGUACUUUUGAUCACCUGGUUGGUGAUAAUAGCGGCAGGUUGCCGAAUAAUUUUUUGUAGUACUGGACGUACUUUUGAUCACCUAGCUGGUGAUAAUAGAGGACCUGGCUCUUUUUGGGCAUAUGGUCAUUCGCCCUCCUCACAACACUCCAGCCCAUUAUUUUGGGCUUGCCGUUUUUUUAUUAUUAUUUUUUAUGAUUACCCUCUGAUGGGGUUAUACAGAUGUCUCCGAAAGAUAAGAAAAAUAAAUCACAUCAUUCAAAAAUAAAUCUGACCCUCUGCUCAAUGGGUCACACCCAUAAUUCCCUUUUCUACAUGCCAUCACCACUGUCCGUAAUUAUGUCUGCUUCUUUUAUCUUCUUUUGCUUUCUGUUUUUCUUUCUGCUCUCUGCUUUAGAUAUGUCACUUGAUGACAUGAUUAAGGGCAAUAUUCAUUUCUCUAAAGUGACAGUUGCUUGGACAACCUUUUUGACACCACCCACUUGCUUUUCUUGAUCUCUCCGCUCCUUCUCUGUUUUUCUGCUGAAAGUCACUAGGUUGAGAUUCCGAGUUCGAGGGAUCCGAGUCGGGAGCUAGCUGUGAUCUUCAAUAACUUCAUUGGCCCGCACGACAGCGAACGAGAAUUCUCCAUGGCUGUGCUUGUCCAAGCUUCUACACCACAGCAAAGGGUCCUCCAACAACCUUAACAAUCAUAACAAAAUAUUUGAUGGGUCCUCUCACCUACUUGUGUCAUCUAGAGCCAUGAACAUAGCUUGCAGGGGCUUGGCGUGGAGGAAGACAGGCGUAUCUUUGGUGACGUUCAAAGCAACGCCGAGUUGAGCACUGCUCUGUGAAACUUAAACCGUUGCAUGCUGCUUUGAUCUUGGUCUUUGUCGAUGGGCAGAUUUUCAACCAGCUCUCUAUGAAGUCAUUAGCAGUGGACCCAUCAUUGGGCAAAUAUGUAGUUAGAAUUCUGAGGGCCCAUCAGUCAACGAUGAACUCGUGGCCCUUCCAGUGCACCACCUCGGGGGACACGUACUCUUUCGUUCCGACAAACGAGUUCGCGCGUUCGCCGUCCGAGAAACUCAGCUUCCGUCGACUCAUCGGGCUGUCUCAAGACAACUUGGCCUUAUUCAACCCCUUCCCGCUUCUGCCAUUCUUGUGAUUUUCGUUUAUAAUCGUGAUCCAACGUGUCAAGUUUCGCCGGUGUUUGCGGUGAAUCUUCGGGAUGUCAUUUUCUGGAACGGAGUCGCUGGGCUUGGUGGUCCGGUGCUUGAGGCUAAUCGAGAGGUCGAAGUCUGUGAGUGUCACAUGACUAGAUUGCUGGAUGAGGAUUGUAAUUCAUGUCAAUGGCGUUUCUCCCGCUCAAAAUCUCAACAAAAGUGUUGGAUCUUGAUGGGCUUUUCAGCGGUGGCGGUGGUUUUGGACGAUGAGGUUUGGGAAUUGGCAACGGAGAUGGCUGAGUCAACUCGGCAAAAAAAGGUACCCCAUAAGAGGAAAUCAAGAUUUCAACUUUGUGUGUUCUCAGAACUGCCAUGGGAGGGACCAAAAAGUCUUUUUCUUUUGAAUUGCAGAGAGAGAAAGAUCUGGUAUUGAUGCAUGCUGAGAGAUCUCGAUCUUCAGAAAAGGAAAAAGAAUGAGGACUUUAAAAAGAAAAAAGAGAAUCUUUGGGGCUCUUUUAUGAGCAGAGACCGAGAGAGAGACAGAGAGAGGAGAUGACAUGGUGGCUUUGUGUUUGUGGGCUAUUUCUGGAAAAGCCCAAGGAGGUUCUGAGUUUCUACAGAUUCAAGGUGGAGAGUGGUGAGAUGAAAAAAUGAAAGAGAACCGACAUAGCUUUUUGUGUCGAUUCCCAUAGAUGGCGCCAAAUGUUGAUGCACAAAAUCGGAGGGGUCUUGGAACAACGUAAAUCCUAUCGUGAAUCUGCAAGAUGUAUCGUGGUUCACCCCAAUGUUUGGGCUACGUCCACACUGAUGUUGAUUGUAUUUCUCUAAUUAUAUGUAUGGAUUACAAGGGUGAAGGGGAGUCCCCUAGAGAAAGAAAGAGUUUGAGAGUGUGAGGGGGUUGCUGGAUAUGAACCUCUCUUUUAGGGAUGUGAGGCUUUUUGAUUGUGAGGGUGAGGAGUCCCUUUUAUAGACUAAGAGCUCCUCACAUAUUACAUAUUUGUGUUUUUGACGACCUACUCUUGUAGGUGAUCACAUGUUCUUCUCUCUUCUUAAAGAAGAUGUUGGCUAAGAAGAGAUCAUAUGCCAUUGCAAAAUCCAAGAUGGCUUCCUCAUCCUCGUUUCUCUCCCCAAAACCAUGGCCACCAUGAAAACCUCCAUAGUUGCCUGUCUCCUUGCCCACGUGUCCAUUUAAAUCUCCUCCUAUAAAUACCUUCUCCAUCUGAGUAAUUCCUUGCACCAAGUCUCCAAGAUCUUCCCAAAAUUUCUCCUUCAAACUCAUAUCCAACCCUACUUGAGGUGUGUACGCACUAAUCACAUUGAUGAGUUCUUAUCCUAUUACAAUCUUGAUUGCCAUAUUUCUAUCUCCUACCCUCUUGACAUCUACAACAUCUUAUGUCAAGGUCUUGUCCACGAUGAUGCCAACACCAUUUCUUGUUCUAUUUGUGGCCCAAUACCAAAGUUUAAAACCUGAGUUUUCUAGAUCCUUUGCCUUAAGACCAACCCACUUAGUUUCUUGUAUGCACAUAAUACUUAUCCUUCUCCUCACCAUAACUUCCACUACUUCCAUAGAUUUUCCCGUUAGUUCCUAUAUUCCAUGUUCCUAAAUGCGUUCUGCUCUAUUGGACUCUACCCUUCUGUCCUAGCUUCUUCACCCUCUCCCGUCUCAUAGGAUCAAAGUACUUCUUUUGUGUGUCUUGUGUAAAGUUGAUAGGAGCAUAUGCUUCCAAACAACUUUGAGUGGAGUCGUUCAAAAAGAAGUUUCUAUGACCCCCUUACUUAUUUAACACUGCAUCCGGGUGCCGAUGGAGAUACAGCGACCCUUACUCACUUAUCAUUGUGCUCAGGCCACACAGCGCGUCACUUACGAGUGACGACCUAGCUUUAGUGCAAUUUCAUUCUGGAUUCAUUUUCAUAAGGAUUCGACGUAACCUAGAAGUGCCGGUUGUCGACUACCUGAUGCCACUAGAAGAAAAAAGCUCAUCUACCACGGUGGAUGCCCGUGGUAAAUUGCAAUCUACCACGGACAUUGUGCCCGUUAGUAUUCUGGAUGUGAUAAAAAGUCUUUGCUUUUACCAAGGACUAUGCACGUUGUCAAAUGCAAUGUAACCACGGAUUGUGCCCAUGGUAGAUUGGGAUCUAACACCACAUGCUAUGGCCAUUGUGGAUUACAAAUUGACCACGGCUAAUGCCCGUUAUAAAAAGAUUUCCAAAAAUUAAAAAAAAAUAUUAUUUAAUAAAUAAACAAGUAAUAUAUAUACAAAAUUGCAAAUUUACUCUAUAAAAAUUCACAUAUUCAAAUAUUACACCAAAAGUAACAACAAAAUGAGUAGUUAUAUAUAUAUAUAUAUAUAUAUAUUAAGAAAUACCAAAAUCACCAAAACAUGUAGAGGCUUUAUUUCGUUUCUUCCAGAAGACACACAUCUCCAGCAAGCCAAUCACACUUUAAGUUUGCAAGUGCUUGCAAAACACCAACACUUUUUAUCAAGAAAGAAAAAUAAGGUCUUUUUUAUUAUUUUGUGCAUAAUUAAAACAUUCGAACGCAUGGUACGUAGUGUCGAAUUUGGUAGUUCUUCAUAUGUUACUGAACAUAACCACCAAAUCAACAAAAAUAAUCAUUUUCAUAUCAAGGUAUGAAAGAAAUUAAAAAUACAUUUCCAUCUGAUUCCAUCUGAUAUAGAUAUACUUGAAGAUAAAAAUGAUCAUGCUACGUAUUACAAAGAGAAGUUAGAUAUGUAGGAUAGUACGUGACCCGUCCUCUUAAGAUAGCCACUAACCUCUCCUCUCUACACUCCUCUACAACUGUUACCUCGCUAUGCACAAAUUUCUUUCAGGUCUGCAGACUUCACUGCAAAGACACUUGCAAAGAAACCAAAUGGAAAGAAACAAAAGUAAAAAGAAAGGAACAAACUGAUUGUUGCAUUCAAACCAUGUAAACUAGAUUACGCAAACAAAUAAAAUCAAGUAAAUCUAAACUUAUGGGUUUAAGAAAAAAAUGCCAUUGUCAAGCACAAAUUGGUCUCGACAAUUUGCUGCUUCAUUUCUGUAAGCUUCUUGUGAUUGUUACCUACAAUACCAACAUUCACAAAGGAAAAAUUAAAUUAGUUACGGAAAAAAAAAUUAUAUGAAAUCACCGGUGUAAAAUUUGUUGAUAUUUCCAUCACCUAAGAUUCCCCUGCUUCAUAAUUUAACAAUCAUUGUAGCAACUGACAAAAAGAUAUUGAGAAAAAAAAGUAGAAAAGAAAAACUGAAUUUAAAUAACACAGAGAGUUUAAAGUUCAAACAGGUCCUUGAAGAUUUAGUGAAGAAACUUACCAGGGGCAGAGAAAUAUUCCGAAGAGACUGGAUAGAACAUUGAUAGGAUUAACAUACCACACACCAUUGUAGCAGAUGCAAAUUAAAUUAUGGGAAACCGGGGAGAGACAAAUUAUGAUGUUUUUUUUUUGUUUUAAGAAACCGAAGCGGUUGAGCUUUGGAAAAACGUGGGAGCGUAGUUGAAAGGGGGUAGAAUUCGUUUUUGUUUUUGGAAAAGGGAAAGGAAGAUAAAGUGGAAGAGAUGGACAUGGAAAGGAGAUAGAGCAAAAAGUGGAUUUGUCAAAAAAAUUAGAAAUUUCAACAAAAGAUGUCUAAAAUUUUGCAAAAUUUUGGUGUCCCGCCUCCUCCAAAUAUGUGAAUUUAUGAUUCUAUCACACAUUAUGCUUGUGGUAGAUAAUAAAAAGACAUUGUGGAUACUAACAAUAUUGACCACGAGCAUUGUCCGUAGUUACUUAGAAUAUUUAUAACGUGCAACUUUGCGCGUAAUUAUUAACUACUAUUUUAUAACGGGCUAAGAUUUACCUGUGGUAAAAAAUUAUUAUUCAUCACGCACUUACUAUGCGUGUGGUAAAUUUAUACUUUUUACAACGAGCUGAUAAAGCCCGUGGUAGAAUUCUCGUGGUAGAUGAACUGUUGUCUCCUCCUCCUUUAUCCGGGCUUGGGACCGACAAUAUAAGAUAAACUUACAUAGGUGGAUUUAAUUAGUCACUUAUUUUAAUUGAUUCUCAUGACAAUUCUCCCGUUUUCAAUACAUUAUCAUGUAUUGAAUACUUUGAAUGUUUCCACAGACCCCACAUAGAUGAUAGAGUUAUGCAGACUUCUUGUAGAAUUGCACUUGUACAUUUAGGUGGAAGUUUGAUCGAGUCGUGUAAAAUAGACGGGCGUAUAAAAUAGAGGCAGUUAAACAAAAAUUUAAAUAUCAGUGCCGCAAGCUAAGCUCACUUGAUAAACUAAAAUUUGUUUCCAUGUAAGAAGACUUAAAAUAUAAAGCGCGAAUUGACCAAAAGGAAGUUUUGGCUUCAUAUAUAGAGAAGAUAAGUAAACACAUUCAGGUGGCAUUAAGUAUCACAACACAAAUAUGGACAGUCCUAUGGCCCUGCAGCUGGAAGAAGAGGAAAACUUCGGCUGUGCCAUGCAGCUGGUGUUUUCUUCUGUGUUGUCCAUGUCUAUGCAAUCAGCAAUCGAGCUAGGUGUUUUCGACAUCAUAGCGAAAGCUGGUCCUGGUGCCAAUCUGUCUUCAUCAGAGAUUGCAGCCCAUAUCGACAGCGGCACCAGGAAUUCUGAGGCACCGAUGAUGUUGGAUCGUAUUCUAAGGCUCCUAGCCAGUCACUCUAUUCUCAGCUGCUCUGUCGUUGCUAAUGAAGAAGAUGGGUCUGAUUCUCAGAGGCUCUACAGCCUUGGUCCUGUGUCCAACUACUUUGUGACUAAUGAAGAUGGUGUUUCUUUAGGUCCCAUGAUUGCAUUGGCGCAAGACAAGGUCGUCCUAGACUCCUGGUCUGUUUAGUACUACUCUCUUCCCCCUACUAAUUAACCAUUGUCUUAAAC